UGAUAGAGGCGGGGUGUCCCGAUCUUUCGAUGAGAUGAUAACUAUCGAUUUGGUGAAGAUGACUUUGACGAUCCGACUACAAACGUGCACGACGUUGCGCCUUAGCAAUCGCUAAACCAACUCCGAGAGGUUAUUGACCACGCUGGAGCACAAUCAACCUGACCACGAAGGUCUAUUCCUGCAAGCAAUCGAAGAACAAGCAAGAAUAUGAUAAAAGCAAUCUGAAUAUUGCGAGUAUAUAUGAAGUAUUGAUAAAGGUGGGGAUCCGUAAGCGGUCUUGGUCUGGUCGUUGGACACAAACGAAGUACACGAAGUUGCAAUGGCUAACUUUUAACUAAACAAAUCCCAAGGAAAAGCUACUAGAUGGAUCUACUUAUAUAGGAGCAAGGGGUGGCGCCCAAGGAGGUGGGAGGACGUUCCAAGGCAGCCUAAAACUAAAUCUAGGUCGUACAAGGCCAAUGGGCCCAAGUGGAGGUGAUGUAACACCUUUGGACUUGUAGUUUGACUCGGAUUCUGCUGCAGCAUCAGAUUGUUUCGUCCACAACUCAACGCUCCGGACGAAUUUGAAGGUGAUUCCACUUGGGUUGGAAAGUGCACGAAAUCUAGUUUCCAACAAAAAAAGAAUCACCCAAUUCGGAGUCCGUAUGAAAACCUUGUGUGCGUUUUGAGUCAGGUAUGUCUGUGCAGUCCGAAUCUGAAUCCAGAACGUGAGAGACUUGGACUCUAUCUUCUCGUGGGCCAAAAGUGACGUGAGAGAACUUUUUGGACAGCAAAUAAACAUCUCUUUCUUCCUUAUCUUCGUAUGUGGAUUGUACAAAUGUCCCAUACACCUGCAAUUAGACAAAACACAAAAGUGUGUGAAGUAUUUUUGUUCUGGAUAACACAAAUAGAUUAUUGAAUAGUUUGCACUAGAAAUCACCUGACAAAUAUGCAUAUAUGCAAUAUUUUUGGUCAUAUCCAAGGUAGUCAUGUCCUCAUCAUCCUCCCCUUCUUGAAAAUAAAGCCGUCCUCGGCGUUGCUUAAUCUGAAAUGUGGCUAACAAAAGAGACAAGGUGUACAUGUUGUAUAUGUAUAUGUCAUCCAUUUUUACUUCCCUUGAUUUUUGCAUAUAUGACACAUGAAUAGAUGAGUAACUUGCAUAGUUCAUAAAAUCUAAAGCCAAAAAAUUAGCACAAGAAGUAGAAGGCAUGAAAAUAUUGCAACUCAGUUUGCACAUAUAAGUGAAGCUCUUAUUCAUUUCAAAAGAUUGACAAUGUUCAUCAUUAAAGCAUCCCAACAUUGGUGAAUAAACCUUACUUGCAUCAAAUUUACAUGCUACAACAUGCUUAAAUAAGCAAACAUGCAAUAAGUCAUUCAACACAGAAUCAUCACCAAGAUUAGAGGUCAUAUCAAAAUGAUUAAACAUUGGUUCUUUUGCAUCAAUAGUUAAUUCAAUGGGUGCACUCAAAAUUGUUGGUAUUUCAGUUGUUUGAUCACAUGGCAAAGUCAAAUUAUCAACGUAGUCCUCUAAAAUAGGUGGUGUGAUCAAAGUAGUGGGUAGCUCAUCAGAUGGUGCAUUCGAAUUGACAAGGCAUUCAUCAUUCUCAUGUAGAGAUGGAAGAUCAGUACCUUUGUCAUUACCUCUUAUGAUCAACUCAGAUGAUGUAGCCACUCUCGGGGGCGAUGUGUCACAUGGUGGAGGUGAUGUAGUCCUGACAACAACGGAUGUGGUUGUCAUAGUAUGCCUAGUAGUUGAAGGAACAAUCAUAUCAACUCUUGGAAUGUGCACCGUGCGCUUGUUCUCCUCGUGGCCAACACGUCGUUUUAUUUCCUGUUCAGCUUUGCAAGCAAGAUGAAACAAAUGGUCCAUAGGAUAACACUCUUCAUGAAUUAGUAUCUCUUGAAUAUCACGGUUUAAUCCUCCCCAAAAUCUAUCCAUAAAAGCAUCUUCACUUUCUUCUAAAGAGGAAUGCAACAAGGUAGUUUGUAAAUCAUCAUAAUAUUUUGUUAUAGUUUCACUACCUUGUUUUAAGUGUUGCAACUUCUUAAUCAUGUCACGAGUAUAAUAAUCAGGGACGAAAGUAUGUCGCAUGGCAAGUUUCAAAUCAUCCCAAGUAGUAGGUAUAUAAUCAGGGUGUAACCGACAAUAUUCACUCCACCAAACCAAAGCAUAACCAGUGAAAGAACCAACCGCAACCUUAACCUUGUUAUGUUCAUUGAAAUUAUGGGAAGCAAAUAUAUUUUUUAUGUCGAACUCCCAUUCAAUAUAUAAAGCAGGUUUAAAACGGCCAUUAAAUGGUGGUAUAGAUACAUUAACCUGAUCAUGUGCAUUUGGAUGUUUGUGCACCUCUCGUGACGGUUGUGGUAUUUGCAAAGGUGGUGGCACGUCUCCCGCGAUCGACAAAGCCCAUGAAUUGACUCUGGAUCCUGUCAUGAUUAGUAGAACAAGAAACAAAACCCAAAAAUAAUGUUCCUAUAACUACUAGGAUGUGGUGGUAAAACGCUCACAGUAAAGCAAAUAUCAAUGUCUUACAAGUUCUUACCAUGCAGCAGGCGGUGAUCGGCAACCAGCGGUGUCAAGUAACUCCGAAUAUUGAGUAAAGCGAUUGCCAGGGGAGCGUACGUAUACACGGUGUAGAAAUAUGUGGAGCUGGGUUGGCUAUAUAUGGUAGCAAAAGAUUAGCAAUAAUCAAUUCAAAGAUGCAAUGUUGAAUAAACGCUCAACGACGGUACUGUGCUGGUCCUAGGCUAGACCGGACUAGAUACGCGAGCCUAGAACACUAAUGAGGUCACGGUGUAGCACAACUAGCAUCAAUGAAGGAUACUAAGUAGCUCUUGACAGCAAGAUAUAAGUGAAGAUCACAACAGCAGUGAAGAUAAUGAGGUGAAACAACAGCCAAGCAGGAUAUAUCAACAACUUUGUCUCCAACUUUCCUCUGAAAAAGUUUGUGUCGAUUUUUUUGUUUUUUUUUCUUCUCUCUUUUUUUUCCUCACACUUUUUUUUUCUUUCUCUCCUUUUUUUUCUCUGACUUUUUUUUUCCUUUUUUUCUCUCUUUUUCUCUCUCUUUUUUUUUCUCUCUUUUUUUCUCCCUCUUUCCAAAACAAACUAGAUAAGAUGCAGAUUGGAUCAAGUGAAGAUGUGAACGAUCUCAACUAUUAUUAUGACAAUGAAUGGUGGGUAGCACGUGGUGGAAAUUGAUGGAUGGGUGGUGGACAGCGGAAGAGAUAAUGAUGCAGCGGUGGCGUGACUAAUGUGAACAGAACUCGAAACUCUAAACGAACUAGACACUAAGACCAGCAACUCGACACGACGAUGCAAUCGAUAAUUCAACUAUGCAAUCAAUGAAAAGAAAAUUGCAAAGGCUCAGACUGGCUUGGACCAAGGAUGAAUAGAUCUAACUCUUUUUUGUGGCUUUUUCUUGGACAAUAGGUAAGAAAGUAAAUCUAAUCUAGGAAAACUGGAAAUUCUCACCGAGCAACCUGAAAACUGAUACCACUUGAUAGAGGCGGGGUGUCCCGAUCUUUCGAUGAGAUGAUAACUAUCGAUUUGGUGAAGAUGACUUUGACGAUCCGACUACAAACGUGCACGACAUUGCGCCUUAGCAAUCGCUAAACCAACUCCGAGAGGUUAUUGACCACGCUGGAGCACAAUCAACCUGACCACGAAGGUCUAUUCCUGCAAGCAAUCGAAGAACAAGCAAGAAUAUGAUAAAAGCAAUCUGAAUAUUGCGAGUAUAUAUGAAGUAUUGGUAAAGGUGGGGAUCCGUAAGCGGUCUUGGUCUGGUCGUUGGACACAAACGAAGUACACGAAGUUGCAAUGGCUAACUUUUAACUAAACAAAUCCCAAGGAAAAGCUACUAGAUGGAUCUACUUAUAUAGGAGCAAGGGGUGGCGCCCAAGGAGGUGGGAGGACGUUCCAAGGCAGCCUAAAACUAAAUCUAGGUCGUACAAGGCCAAUGGGCCCAAGUGGAGGUGAUGUAACACCUUUGGACUUGUAGUUUGACUCGGAUUCUACUGCAGCAUCAGAUUGUUUCGUCCACAACUCAACGCUCCGGACGAAUUUGAAGGUGAUUCCACUUGGGUUGGAAAGUGCACGAAAUCUAGUUUCCAACAAAAAAAGAAUCACCCAAUUCGGAGUCCGUAUGAAAACCUUGUGUGCGUUUUGAGUCAGGUAUGUCUGUGCAGUCCGAAUCUGAAUCCAGAACGUGAGAGACUUGGACUCUAUCUUCUCGUGGGCCAAAAGUGACGUGAGAGAACUUUUUGGACAGCAAAUAAACAUCUCUUUCUUCCUUAUCUUCGUAUGUGGAUUGUACAAAUGUCCCAUACACCUGCAAUUAGACAAAACACAAAAGUGUGUGAAGUAUUUUUGUUUUGGAUAACACAAAUAGAUUAUUGAAUAGUUUGCACUAGAAAUCAUCUGACAAAUAUGCAUAUAUGCAAUAUUUUUGGUCAUAUCCAAGGUAGUCAUGUCCUCAUCAGAUCUCCAGGCGCAAACACAACAUGUUUUCUACCCUUAUCUCCAGCAAGUUUAUAUUUAGCAUUCAUACGCUCAAUGUUUUCCGUUAACUCAUGCAUUUUUAAAAUCAAUUCAGAACGUUCUUUAGCAUCAAAAUUAACCUUCUCUGAAAAUGGAAGAGGCAACAAAUCAAUAGGUGCACGAGGUAGGAAACCAUACACAAUUUCAAAAGGGCACAUCUUAGUAGUAGAAUGCAAUGAACGAUUAUAAGCAAAUUCAAUAUGAGGCAAGCAUUCUUCCCACAUUUUCUUGUUAUUCUUCAAAACAACCCUAAGCAUAGUAGACAAUGUUCUAUUGACUACUUCAGUUUAUCCAUCAGUUUGGGGGUGACAAGUAGUACUAAAAAGCAGCUUAGUCCCCAACUUAGCCCAUAAACAUCUCCAAAAGUGGCUAAGAAAUUUAGUAUCACGAUCUGAAACAAUAGUACUUGGCACACCAUGUAAGCGAAUAAUUUCACGAAAGAACAAAUCAGCAACAUUAACAGCAUCAUCGCUUUUAUGACAUGGUAUAAAGUGUGCCAUUUUCGAGAACCUAUCCACGACAACAAAUAUGCUAUCCCUCCCCUUCUUUGUUCGAGGUAAACCUAAAACAAAGUCCAUAGAUAUAUCCUCCCAAGGAACACUAGGUACAGGCAAAGGCAUAUAUAAACCAUGAGGAUUGAGUCGUGACUUAGCUCUUUGACAUGUAGUGCAGCGAGCAACAAAACGCUCAACAUCCCGUCUCAUCUUUGGCCAAAAGAAAUGUGUAGCAAGUAUAUCCUCCGUCUUCUUGACGCCAAAGUGUCCCAUUAAUCCUCCUCCAUGCGCCUCCUGCAACAACAAAAGACGAACGGAGCUAGCAGGAAUGCAUAGCUUGUUAGCACGAAACACAAAUCCAUUGUUAAGAACGAACUUGUUCCAAGUUCUCCCUUCCUUACAAUUCUGCAAUACAUCUUUAAAUUCAGCAUCAUGAACAUAUUGAUCUUUGAUGGUCUCCAAACCAAAUAUUUUAAAGUCAAGUUGUGAAAGCAUGGUAUAACGACGAGACAAGGCAUCAACAAUAACAUUUUCUUUACCCUUCUUGUGUUUAAUGACAUAAGGGAAAGUCUCAAUGAAUUCAACCCAUUUAGCAUGUCUACGGUUCAGUUUUGCUUGACUUUUAAUGUGUUUCAAAGAUUCAUGAUGAGAAUGUACAACAAAUUCCUUGGGCCAUAAAUAAUGUUGCCAUGUUUCUAAGGUCCGAACAAGAGCAUAUAAUUCUUUAUCAUAAGUAGAAUAGUUCAGACUAGGCCCACUCAAUUUUUCAGAAAAGUAUGCAACAGGUUUUCCAUCUUGUAAUAACACACCUCCUAAUCCAAUUCCACUAGCAUCACAUUCAAGCUCAAAAGUCUUAUUGAAAUUAGGAAGUUGGAGUAAAGGAGCAUGUGUCAACUUAUCUUUCAAUACUGUGAAGGCUUCUUCCUGUGCGGUACCCCAAACAAAAGGCACAUCCUUCUUUGUAAGCUCGUUGAGAGGUGCGGCAAUGGUGCUGAAAUCUCUCACAAAACGCCUAUAGAAACCAGCAAGGCCAAGGAACUCCUCACUUGUGUGACCGUUUUGGGCUGCGGCCAACUCUCAAUAGCUUCAAUCUUGGCUUUAUCAACUUCAAUUCCCUGUGGAGUAACAACAUAGCCAAGAAAACAUACUCGGUCGGUGCAAAAGGUGCACUUUCCAAGGUUUCCAAACAAACAUGCAUCACGUAGAGCAAUAAAAACAGCACGUAAAUGUUCCAAAUGUUCCUCCAAAGAUUUGCUAUAAAUCAAUAUGUCAUCAAAGUAAACUACCACAAAUCGUCCAAUGAAAGCACGUAAAACUUCGUUCAUUAACCUCAUGAAAGUACUAGGUGCAUUAGUUAACCCAAAAGGCAUGACUAACCACUCAUAUAAUCCAAACUUAGUUUUAAAUGCUGUUUUCCAUUCAUCACCCAAUUUCAUAUGAAUUUGAUGGUAUCCACUACGCAAAUCAACUUUGGAGAAUAUUGUAGAGCCACUCAAUUCAUCAAGCAUAUCAUCUAGCCUAGGAAUAGGAUGACGAUAACGAAUAGUAAUAUUAUUAAUGCCUCUACAAUCAACGCACAUACGCGACGUACCAUCCUUUUUCGGCACUAAAAUGAUAGGAACAGCACAAGGACUAAGGGAUUCGCGUAUAUAACCUUUGUCGAGCAGUUCUUGUACUUGACGCAUAAUCUCCUUCGUCUCCUCUGGAUUGGUAUGGUAUGGUGCACGGUUGGGUAGCGAAGCACCGGGAAUUAAGUCAAUUUGAUGCUCAAUCCCUCGAAUAGGUGGUAAUCCCAGUGGCACGUCUUGUGGAAAGAUGUCAGCGAACUCCUGCAAAAUGUUAGUGACAGCAGGGGGCAAAGAGGAAGGCACAUCCUCGAAUGAAAAUAAUGCCUCUUUGCACACAAAAGUAUAGCAAACAGAUUUGCUAAAAUCUAGCUCAUCAAUAUCAGAUUUGGUGGCGAGUAAACAUGCACUUUUCAAUUUAAUUUCAGAAACAACAGUAGAUGGUUUAUUAUUAGGCUUCAUUUGGUGCUCAAAUUCUUUUGCCACAAUCUGAUUUUCACUCUUAUUUGUCUCCUGUUUUGCUUUAUUAGCUCUAUUAAUAUCAUCUUUCAAAAUGGAAUCAGGAGUCAUAGGAAGCAAAGUAAUAUUUUUAUGGUUAUGAACAAGAGUAUACAGAUUGUUUCUACCAUGGUGUACAGAAUUUUUAUCAAAUUGCCAUGGUCUACCAAGUAAUAAGGAACAUGCUUGCAUAGGUACCACAUCACAAUCAACACAAUCAGCAUAUGUAGAGAUACUAAAAUGCACACGAACAGUACGUGUUACCUUAACCUUGCCGCUGUUGUUGAACCACUGGAUGUAGUAAGGAUGUGGAUGUGGUCUUGUGGUGAGAGAUAGCUUCUCCACCAUCUCCAUGCUAGCCAAGUUAUUGCAGCUCCCUCCAUCUAUGAUCAGGCGAACAGAAUGUUCCUUCACAACUCCCUUUAUAUGGAACAAAUUAUGCCUCUGAUUUUGCUCAGCUUGUGUAACCUGCACACUCAAAACACGUUGAGCAACUAAACAUUCAUACCUGUCAGCAUCUUCAGGAGCCAUGUAUUGCGUCUCAUGAUCAGAAUCGUCUCCACCGUGUUCUUCACGUGUAAUAACAGCCAAAGUCCACUUGAUAGAGGCAAAGGUGUCCCGUCUUUCGAUGAGAUGAUGGAUAUCGCUUUGGUGGAAGUCGACUUUGACGAUCCGACUACGAACGUGCGAGGACGUCGCGCCUUAGCAAUCGCUAAACCAACUCCGAGAGGUUAUUGACCACGCCGGAGCACGAUCAACCUGACCACGAGGGUCUGUUUCCUGCGAGCAAACGAAGAACAAGCAAGAAACUAAGAUUGCAAUCUGGAUAUUGCGAAUAUAAGAUGAAAGCUUUAUUGAUCAAGGUGGGGUUCUGUGAUGCCUUUGUCUGGUCGUUGAACACAAACGAAGUACGCGAAGUUGCAGCUAUGACGAACUUUUAAUCUACACAAAACCCAAAGUCUAAACGAUGCCCUAAGGGCUGUAUAUAUGGAGGAAGAGGGGGGAAUUUCGUGGCCCUUGGUGGAGGGGUCCGAAAUCAACCCUAUCUCUUGUUUCCCCACACAUACGGACUCUAAAAAUAGCCUAUACUUAUGUAUUUCGAAAUUACAUGGGCCUGGCCCAAUGAUAAGGUGACGCAGCACCUAAAAUAGCCUCGGGACGAAAUUUAUGAAGUGGCAUCUUGUAUAUUUCGUCCAAGGCUUCAUGCACCCAUUAUGGUGGCUUCAAAGUCCUGGAAUCAUCACUUGUAACUCCGUUCUUGUUCCCCUUGCGCAUGCCAUCAUCUCCAUGCUUGUUCUUGCUCCAAUGUUCAUCCUUCUCCAAGCUAGGCCCUUCAUUUCUAAGCAAAACAAAUGUAUCCAAUUUAGGCAGCAUCAUAUUCUCAUGAACAUUAGAAUCAUUGCCAAGAAACGAAAGUACCUAGUAAUUUAGUUGGCGUGCGCGAGCUCUAGUAAUUGGUCCAGUAUGUAUAGCAGCAGGGCCUGUGGGUGUAACAAUGGUAUUGAUGUCCUCAUCAUCCUCCCCUUCUUGAAAUGAAGUCGUCCUCGAUGGAAACUCAUCUUCCUCACCCAAAUAAGGCUUCAAAUCUGCAAUGUUAAAAGUGGGAUUAACCCCAAAAUCUGCAGGCAGCUCAAGUUUAUAUGCAUUAUCAUUUAUUUUCUCGAACACCUUAAAGGGACCAUCAGCCCGUGGCAUGAGCUUUGAUUUGCGCAAAUCAGGAAAUCUAUCCUUACGCAAAUGUAACCAAACAAGAUCUCCAGGUGCAAACACAACAUGUUUUCUACCCUUAUCUCCAGCAAGUUUAUAUUUGGCAUUCAUACGCUCAAUGUUUUCCUUAGUUAACUCAUGCAUUUUUAAAAUCAAUUCAGCACGUUGUUUAGCAUCAAAAUUAACCUUCUCCGAAGAUGGAAGAGGCAACAAAUCAAUAGGUGCACGAGGUAGGAAACCAUACACAACUUCAAAAGGGCACAUCUUAGUAGUAGAAUGCAAUGAACGAUUAUAAGCAAAUUCAAUAUGAGGCAAGCAUUCCUCCCACAUUUUCUUAUUACUCUUCAAAACAGCCCUAAGCAUAGUAGACAAUGUUCUAUUGACUACUUCAGUUUGUCCAUCAGUUUGGGGGUGACAAGUAGUACUAAAAAGCAGUUUAGUCCCCAACUUAGCCCAUAAACAUCUCCAAAAGUGGCUAUGAAAUUUAGUAUCACGAUCUGAAACAAUAGUAUUUGGCACACCAUGCAAGCGAAUAAUUUCACGAAAGAACAAAUCAGCAACAUUAACAGCAUCAUCGCUUUUAUGACAUGGUAUAAAGUGUGCCAUUUUCGAGAAUCUAUCCACGACAACAAAUAUGCUAUCCCUCCCCUUCUUUGUUCGAGGUAAACCUAAAACAAAGUCCAUAGAUAUAUCCUCCCAAGGAACACUAGGUACAGGCAAAGGCAUAUAUAAACCAUGAGGAUUGAGUCGUGACUUAGCUUUUUGACAUGUAGUGCAUCGAGCAAUAAAACGCUCAACAUCCCGUCUCAUCUUUGGCCAAAAGAAAUGUGUAGCAAGUACGUCCUCCGUCUUCUUCACGCCAAAGUGUCCCAUUAAUCCUCCUCCAUGCGCCUCCUGCAACAACAAAAGACGAACGGAGCUAGCUGGAAUGCACAGCUUGUUAGCACGAAACACAAAUCCAUCGUUAACGAGAAACUUGUUCCACAUUCUUCCUUCUUUACAAUUCUGCAUUACAUCUUUAAAAUCAGCAUCAUGCACAUAUUGAUCUUUGAUGGUCUCCAAACCAAAUAUUUUGAAGUCAAGUUGUGAAAGCAUAGUAUAGCGACGAGACAAUGCAUCAGCAAUAACAUUUUCUUUUCCCUUCUUGUGUUUAAUGACAUAAGGGAAAGUCUCAAUGAAUUCAACCCAUUUAGCAUGUCUACGAUUCAGUUUAGCUUGACUUUUAAUAUGUUUCAAAGAUUCAUGAUCAGAAUGUAUAACAAAUUCUUUGGGCCAUAAAUAAUGUUGCCAUGUUUCUAAAGUCCGAACAAGAGCAUAUAAUUCUUUAUCAUAAGUAGAAUAAUUCAGACUAGGCCCACUCAAUUUUUUAGAAAAGUAUGCAAUAGGUUUGCCAUCUUGUAAUAACACACCUCCUAAUCCAAUUCCACUAGCAUCACAUUCAAGCUCAAAAGUCUUAUUAAAAUCAGGAAGUUGGAGUAAAGGAGCAUGUGUCAACUUAUCUUUCAAUACCGUGAAGGCUUCUUCCUGUGCGGUACCCCAAACAAAAGGCACAUCCUUCUUUGUAAGCUCGUUGAGAGGUGCAGCAAUGGUGCUGAAAUCUCUCACAAAACGCCUAUAGAAUCCAGCGAGGCCAAGAAAACUCCUCACUUGUGUGACCGUUUUGGGCUGCGGCCAACUCUCAAUAGCUUCAAUCUUGGCUUUGUCAACUUCAAUUCCCUGUGGAGUAACAACAUAGCCAAGAAAAGAUACUCGGUCGGUGCAAAAGGUGCACUUCCCAAGGUUACCAAACAAACGUGCAUCACGUAGAGCAAUAAAAACAGCAUGUAAAUGUUCCAAAUGUUCUUCCAAAGAUCUGCUAUAAAUCAAUAUGUCAUCAAAGUAAACUACCACAAAUCGUCCAAUGAAAGCACGUAAAACUUCGUUCAUUAAUCUCAUGAAAGUACUAGGUGCAUUAGUUAACCCAAAAGGCAUGACUAACCACUCAUAUAAUCCAAACUUAGUUUUAAAUGCUGUUUUCCAUUCAUCUCCCAAUUUCAUACGAAUUUGAUGGUAGCCACUACGCAAAUCAACUUUGGAGAAUAUUGUAGAGCCACUCAAUUCAUCAAGCAUAUCAUCUAGCCUAGGAAUAGGAUGACGAUAACGAAUAGUAAUAUUAUUAAUGCCUCUACAAUCAACACACAUACGUGAUGUAACAUCCUUUUUCGGCACUAGAAUAAUAGGAACAACACAAGGACUAAGGGAUUCGCGUAUAUAACCUUUGUCGAGAAGCUCUUGUACUUGACGCAUAAUCUCCUUCGUCUCCUCUGGAUAGGUACGGUAUGGUGCACGGUUUGGCAGUGAAGCACCGGGAAUUAAGUCAAUCUGAUGCUCAAUCCCUCGAAUAGGCGGUAAUCCCGGUGGCACGUCUUGUGGAAAUACGUCAGCGAACUCCUGCAAAAUGUUAGUGACAGCAGGAGGCAAAGAGGAAGGCACGUCCUCGAAUGAAAAUAAUGCCUCUUUGCACACAAAAGCAUAGCAAACAGAUUUGCUGAAAUCUAGCUCAUCAAUAUCAGAUUUGGUGGCAAAUAAACAUGCACUUUUCAAUUUAAUUUCAGAAGCAACACUAGAUGGUUUAUUAUUAGGCUUCAUUUGUUGCUCAAAUUCUUUUGCCACAAUCUGAUUUUCACUCUUAUUCUUCUCCUGUUUUGCUUUAUUAGCUCUAUUAAUAUCAUCUUUCAAAAUGGAAUCAGGAGUCAUAGGAAGCAAAGUAAUAUUUUUAUCCUUAUGAACAAGAGUAUAGUGAUUGUUUCUACCAUGGUGUACAGAAUUUAUUUUCAGUUUUCAGGUUGCUCGGUGAGAAUUUCCAGUUUUUCCUAGAUUAGAUUUAUUUUCUUACCUAUUGUCCAAGAAAAAGCCACAAAACAAAAGUUAGAUCUAUUCAUCCUUUGUCCUAGCCAGACUGAGCCUUUGCAAUUUUCUUUUCAUUGUUUGCAUUAUUGAAUUAUCGGUUGCAUCGCCGUGUCGAGUUGCUGGUCUUAGUGUCUAGUUCCUUUAGAGUUUCGAGUUCUGUUCACAUUAGUCACGCAGCCGCUGCAUCAUUAUCCCAUCGGCUGUCCACCAUCCCAUCCACCAAUUUCCACCACGUGCUACGCACUGUUUAUUGUCAUAAUCAUAGUUGAGGUCACUCACAUCUUCGCCUGAUCGAAUCUGCAUCUUAUCUAGUUUGUCUUGGAAAGAGGGAGAAAAAGAAUAUAAAGAAAAAAAAGAGAGAAAAAAGGAAAGGAAAAAAAAGAAAAAGAGGGAGAAGAAAAAGAAAAAAAAAGCGUGAGAAGAAAAAGAGAGAAGAAAAAAAAUUGGAUCUAUCUAGAAUCAAUCUCGUACCUGAAUUCGGAUUGGAAUCUGUUUUGCGCACUGUUCAGUAAAACAGGUGUAUCUUCCUCAUACGAAGUCCGUUUUGGCUCCAUGAGUACUCAAAUUGAAGAUAGCGACGAGUCGCAUCUAAAUAGUUGCAGAAGCUAGUUCAAUAUUUGACACCUCAAAAUCGGCUUCUAAAUAGGUCUUUUUGCCCUCCGAAGUUCGUGAACACAGCUUGUUCCAAUUUUUUAGGCCAGUUUUAGAAUUCUUUGACUCCUCAUAUCAACUCGGAAUUGAGUGAUUCUUUUUGCAUUGGAAAGCUUGAGUUAGUAGCAUUCUUUGAAAGAAUUUAUCAGAAAACUGUCUCAAACUUUUCAAGAGAAAAGUUGGAGAGAGAGUUGUUGUAUAUCCUGCUUGGCAGUUGUUUUUCAUCAUUAUCUUCACUGCCGUUGUGAUCUUCACUUAUAUCUUGCUGUCAAGAGCUACUUAAUAUCCUUUAUUGAUGCUAGUUGUGCUACGCCGUGACCUCAUUAGUGUUCUAGGCUCGCGUCUCUAGUCCGGUCUAGCCUAGGACCAGCACAGUACCGUCGUUGAGCGUUUAUUCAACAUUGCAUCUUUGAAUUGAUUAUUGCUAAUCUUUUGCUACCAUAAUAGCCAACCCAGCUCCACAUAUUUCUACACCGUGUAUACGUACGCUCCCGUGGCAAUCGCUUUACUCAAUAUUCGGAGUUACUUGACACCGCUGGUUGCCGAUCACCGCCUGCUGCAUGGUAAGAACUUGUAAGACAUUGAUAUUUGCUUUACUGUGAGCGUUUUACCACCACAUCCUAGUAGUUAUAGGAACAUUAUUUUUGGGUUUUGUUUCUUGUUCUACUAAUCAUGACAGGAUCCAGAGUCAAUUCAUGGGCUUUGUCGAUCGCGGGAGACGUGCCACCACCUUUGCAAAUACCACAACCGUCACGAGAGGUGCACAAACAUCCAAAUGCACAUGAUCACGUUAAUGUAUCUAUACCACCAUUUAAUGGCCGUUUUAAACCUGCUUUAUAUAUUGAAUGGGAGUUCGACAUAAAAAAUAUAUUUGCUUCCCAUAAUUUCGAUGAACAUAAAAAGGUUAAGGUUGCGGUUGGUUCUUUCACUGGUUAUGCUUUGGUUUGGUGGAGUGAAUAUUGUUGGUUACACCCUGAUUAUAUACCUACUACUUGGGAUGAUUUGAAACUUGCCAUGCGACAUACUUUCGUCCCUGCUUAUUAUACUCGUGACAUGAUUAAGAAGUUGCAACACUUAAAACAAGGUAGUGAAACUGUAACAAAAUAUUAUGAUGAUUUACAAACUACCUUGUUGCAUUCCUCUUUAGAAGAAAGUGAAGAUGAUUUUAUGGAUAGAUUUUGGGGAGGAUUAAACCGUGAUAUUCAAGAGAUACUAAUUCAUGAAGAGUGUUAUCCUAUGGACCAUUUGUUUCAUCUUGCUUGCAAAGCUGAACAGGAAAUAAAACGACGUGUUGGCCACGAGGAGAACAAGCGCACGGUGCACAUUCCAAGAGUUGAUAUGAUUGUUCCUUCAACUACUAGGCAUACUAUGACAACCACAUCCGUUGUUGUCAGGACUACAUCACCUCCACCAUGUGACACAUCGCCCCUGAGAGUGGCUACAUCAUCUGAGUUGAUCAUAAGAGGUAAUGACAAAGGUACUGAUAUUCCAUCUCUACAUGAGAAUGAUGAAUGCCUUGUCAAUUUGAAUACACCAUCUGAUGAGCUACCUACUACUUUGAUCACACCACCUAUUUUAGAGGACUACGUUGAUAAUUUGACUUUGCCAUGUGAUCAAACAACUGAAAUAUCAACAAUUUUGAGUGCACCCAUUGAAUUAACUAUUGAUGCAAAAGAACCAAUGUUUAAUCGUUUUGAUAUGACCUCUAAUCUUGGUGAUGAUUCUGUGUUGAAUGACUUAUUGCAUGUUUGCAUAUUUAAGCAUGUUGUAGCAUGUAAAUUUGAUGCAAGUAAGGUUUAUUCACCAAUGUUGGGAUGGUUUAAUGAUGAACAUUGGCAAUCUUUUGAAAUGAAUAAGAGCUUCACUUAUAUGUGCAAACUGAGUUGCAAUAUUUUCAUGCCUUCUACUUCUUGUGCUAAUUUUUUGGCUUUAGAUUUUAUGAACUAUGCAAGUUACUCAUCUAUUCAUGUGUCAUAUAUGCAAAAAUCAAGGGAAGUAAAAAUGGAUGACAUAUACAUAUACAACAUGUACACCUUGUCUCUUUUGUUAGCCACAUUUCAGAUUAAGCAACGCCGAGGACGGCUUUAUUUUCAAGAAGGGGAGGAUGAUGAGGACAUGACUACCUUGGAUAUGACCAAAAAUAUUGCAUAUAUGCAUAUUUGUCAGGUGAUUUCUAGUGCAAACUAUUCAAUAAUCUAUUUAUGUUAUCCAGAACAAAAAUACUUCACACACUUUUGUGUUUUGUCUAAUUGCAGGUGUAUGGGACAUUUGUACAAUCCACAUAUGAAGAUAAGGAAGAAAGAGAUGUUUAUUUGCUGUUCAAAAAGUUCUCUCACGUCACUUUUGGCCCAAGAGAAGAUAGAGUCCAAGUCUCUCACGUUCUGGAUUCAGAUUCGGACUGCACAGACAUACCUGACUCAAAACGCACACAAGUUUUUCAUACGGACUCCGAAUUGGGUCAUUCUUUUUUUGUUGGAAACUAGAUUUCGUGCAUUUUCCAACCCAGUUGGAAUCACCUUCAAAUGCGUCCGGAGCGUUGAGUUGUGGACGAAACAAUCUGAUGCUGCAGCAGAAUCCGAGUCAAACUACAAGUCCAAAGGUGUUACAUCACCUCCACUUGGGCCCAUUGGCCUUGUACGACCUAGAUUUAGUUUUAGGCUGCCUUGGGACGUCCUCCCACCUCCUUGGCCGCCACCCCUUGCUCCUAUAUAAGUAGAUCCAUCUAGUAGCUUUUUCCUUGCGAUUUGUUUAGUUAAAAGUUAGCCAUUGCAACUUCGUGUACUUCGUUUGUGUCCAACGACCAGACCAAGACCGCUUACGGAUCCCCACCUUUAUUAAUACUUCAUAUAUAUUCGCAAUAUUCAGAUUGCUUUUAUCAUAUUCUUGCUCGUUCUUCGAUUGCUUGCAGGAAUAGACCUUCGUGGUCAGGUUGAUCGUGCUCCGGCGUGGUUAAUAACCUCAGGAGAUUGGUUUAGCGAUUGCUAAGGCGGAACGUCGUGCACGUUUGUAGUCGGAUCGUCAAAGUCGUCUCCACCAAAUCGGUAGUAUCAUCUCAUCGAAAGAUCGGGACACCCCGCCUCUAUCAAGUGGUAUCAGUUUUCAGGUUGCUCGGUGAGAUUUUACAGUUUUUCAUAGUUUAGAUCGCAUCUGUCAUUCAUACCUAUAGUUCAUGAAAAAGCCACAAAAAAAGUUAGAUCUGUUCAUCCUUUAUCCAAGCCAGUCUGAGCCUUUGCAAUUUUCUAUUCGUUGCUUGCAUAGUUGAAUUAUCGGUUGCAUCGUCGUGUCAGUUGCUGGUCUUAGUGUCUAGUUCCUUUAGAGUUUCGAGUUCUGUUCACAUUAGUCACGCCGCCGUUGCAUCAUUAUCCCUUCCGCUGUCCACCAUCCCAUCUAUUAAUUUCCACCACGUGCUACCCACCAUUCAUUGUCAUAAUAAUAGUUGAGAUCGUUCACAUCUUCACUUGAUCCAAUCUGCAUCUUAUCUAGUUUGUUUUGGAAAGAGGGAGAAAAAAAGAGAGAAAAAAACGAGAGAAAAAAAAGGAAAAAAAGUCAGAGAAAAAAAAAGGAGAGAAAGAAAAAAAAGUGUGAGGAAAAAAAAGAGAGAAGAAAAAAAAAACAAAAAAAUCGGCACAAACUUUUUCAGAGGAAAGUUGGAGACAAAGUUGUUGAUAUAUCCUGAUUGGCUGUUGUUUCACCUCAUUAUCUUCACUACUGUUGUGAUCUUCACUUAUAUCUUGCUGUCAAGAGCUACUUAGUAUCCUUCAUUGAUGCUAGUUGUGCUACGCCGUGACCUCAUUAGUGUUCUAGGCUCGCGUCUCUAGUCCGGUCUAGCCUAGGACCAGCACAGUACCGUCGUUGAGCGUUUAUUCAACAUUGCAUCUUUGAAUUGAUUAUUGCUAAUCUUUUGCUACCAUAUAUAGCCAACCCAGCUCCACAUAUUUCUACACCGUGUAUACGUAUGCUCCCCUGGCAAUCGCUUUUCUCAAUAUUCGGAGUUACUUGACACCGCUGGUUGCCGAUCACCGCCUGCUGCAUGGUAAGAACUUGUAAGACAUUGAUAUUUGCUUUACUGUGAGCGUUUUACCACCACAUCCUAGUAGUUAUAGGAACAUUAUUUUGGGUUUUGUUUCUUGUUCUACUAAUCAUGACAGGAUCCAGAGUCAAUUCAUGGGCUUUGUCAAUCGCGGGAGACGUGCCACCACCUUUGCAAAUACCACAACCGUCACGAGAGGUGCACAAACAUCCAAAUGCACAUGAUCAGGUUAAUGUAUCUAUGCCACCAUUUAAUGGCCGUUUUAAACCUGCUUUAUAUAUUGAAUGAGAGUUCGACAUAAAAAAUAUAUUUGCUUCCCAUAAUUUCGAUGAACAUAAAAAGGUUAAGGUUGCGGUUGGUUCUUUCACUGGUUAUGCUUUGGUUUGGUGGAGUGAAUAUUGUCGGUUACACCCUGAUUAUAUACCUACUACUUGGGAUGAUUUGAAACUUGCCAUGCGACAUACUUUCGUCCCUGCUUAUUAUACUCGUGACAUGAUUAAGAAGUUGCAACACUUAAAACAAGGUAGUGAAACUGUAACAAAAUAUUAUGAUGAUUUACAAACUACCUUGUUGCAUUCCUCUUUAGACGAAAGUGAAGAUGAUUUUAUGGAUAGAUUUUGGGGAGGAUUAAACCGUGAUAUUCAAGAGAUACUAAUUCAUGAAGAGUGUUAUCCUAUGGACCAUUUGUUUCAUCUUGCUUGCAAAGCUGAACAGGAAAUAAAACGACGUGUUGGCCACGAGGAGAACAAGCGCACGGUGCACAUUCCAAGAGUUGAUAUGAUUGUUCCUUCAACUACUAGGCAUACUAUGACAACCACAUCCGUUGUUGUCAGGACUACAUCACCUCCACCAUGUGACCCAUCGCCCCCGAGAGUGGCUACAUCAUCUGAGUUGAUCAUAAGAGGUAAUGACAAAGGUACUGAUCUUCCAUCUCUACAUGAGAAUGAUGAAUGCCUUGUCAAUUUGAAUGCACCAUCUGAUGAGCUACCCACUACUUUGAUCACACCACCUAUUUUAGAGGACUACGUUGAUAAUUUGACUUUGCCAUGUGAUCAAACAACUGAAAUACCAACAAUUUUGAGUGCACCCAUUGAAUUAACUAUUGAUGCAAAAGAACCAAAGUUUAAUCAUUUUGAUAUGACCUCUAAUCUUGGUGAUGAUUCUGUGUUGAAUGACUUAUUGCAUGUUUGCUUAUUUAAGCAUGUUGUAGCAUGUAAAUUUGAUGCAAGUAAGGUUUAUUCACCAAUGUUGGGAUGGUUUAAUGAUGAACAUUGUCAAUCUUUUGAAAUGAAUAAGAGCUUCACUUAUAUGUGCAAACUGAGUUGCAAUAUUUUCAUGCCUUCUACUUCUUGUGCUAAUUUUUUGGCUUUAGAUUUUAUGAACUAUGCAAGUUACUCAUCUAUUCAUGUGUCAUAUAUGCAAAAAUCAAGGGAAGUAAAAAUGGAUGACAUAUACAUAUACAACAUGUACACCUUGUCUCCUUUGUUAGCCACAUUUCAGAUUAAGCAACGCCGAGGACGGCUUUAUUUUCAAGAAGGGGAGGAUGAUGAGGACAUGACUACCUUGGAUAUGACCAAAAAUAUUGCAUAUAUGCAUAUUUGUCAGGUGAUUUCUAGUGCAAACUAUUCAAUAAUCUAUUUAUGUUAUCCAGAACAAAAAUACUUCACACACUUUUGUGUUUUGUCUAAUUGCAGGUGUAUGGGACAUUUGUACAAUCCACAUAUGAAGAUAAGGAAGAAAGAGAUGUUUAUUUGCUGUCCAAAAAGUUCUCUCACGUCACUUUUGGCCCAAGAGAAGAUAGAGUCCAGGUCUCUCACGUUCUGGAUUCAGAUUCGGACUGCACAGACACACCUGACUCAAAACGCACACAAGUUUUUCAUACGGACUCCGAAUUGGGUGAUUCUUUUUUUGUUGGAAACUAGAUUUCGUGCACUUUCCAACCCAAUUGGAAUCACCUUCAAAUUCGUCCGGAGCAUUGAGUUGUGGACGAAACAAUCUGAUGCUGCAGCAGAAUCCGAGUCAAACUACAAGUCCAAAGGUGUUACAUCACCUCCACUUGGGCCCAUUGGCCUUGUACGACCUAGAUUUAGUUUUAGGAUGCCUUGGGACGUCCUCCCACCUCCUUGGCCGCCACCCCUUGCUCCUAUAUAAGUAGAUCCAUCUAGUAGCUUUUCCUUGGGAUUUGUUUAGUUAAAAGUUAGCCAUUGCAACUUUGUGAACUUUGUUUGUGUCCAACGACCAGACCAAGACCGUUUACGGAUCCCCACCUUUAUCAAUACUUCAUCUAUAUUCGCAAUAUUCAGAUUGCUUUAUCAUAUUCUUGCUUGUUCUUCGAUUGCUUGCAGGAAUAGACCUUCGUGGUCAGGUUGAUUGUGCUCUGGCGUGGUCAAUAACCUCUCGGAGUUGGUUUAGCGAUUGCUAAGGCGCAACGUCGUGCACGUUUGUAGUCGAAUCGUCAAAGUCGUCUCCACCAAAUCGAUAGUUAUCAUCUCAUCGAAAGAUCGAGACACCCCCGCUUCUAUCAAGUCUCCUCAUCAUAGUCACUAGCGGACUCAUACCCACCAUCCUCAGUAACAAUCAUCACACGCUUAGAUGGGCAUUCUCUCGCAUAAUGACCUCCACCUUUGCAACGUCGACAAAUAAUAUCAUGUGUUUGCCCUGUUGAUGCCAUGGAUGAAGAAGAGCUCUUUGCAGGCCCAGAAGGUGUGCUCUUGGUAGAUAGUGGUGAUUGUGCCUGCUUUAUUGUAUCACGGUUGGAGGUGGCAGCCGACGGAGGCGCCGGUGUAGCAGAACGUGUGGAAGUAGAUGAUGCACGUGGUGUCCAUGAUGAAGGUCGACCUGCAGAAAAGUUAGUCCGCGCCAAUGCCUGUCGAUCCUGCACUUCACGUUCAGCUUUACAAGCAAGAUGGAAUAAACGAGUGAUAUUAGUAUACUCCUUAUACUCUAGAAUGGUCUGAAUCUCUCUAUUUAAUCCACCCAUAAAACGUGCAAGCAUAGCUUCAUUCUCCUCAACAAUACCACAUCUAAUCAUGCCAGUUUGUAAUUCCUGAUAAUAUUCUUCUACAGAAUUUUUUCCCUGUCUUAAGCGCUGCAAUUUUUGAAGUAAUUCACGUUGAUAAUAUGGUGGAACCCAACGAGUACGCAUAGCAGUUUUCAAAGCAGCCCAAGUAGCCGGAAUAGGAUAUAAUCUACAAUGCUCAGACCACCAAACACAUGCAAAACUAGUGAAUGCACAAAUAGCAGCAGGAACACGUCUCUCCUCGGGAUAUUGUAAACAUGUAAAUCGUUGUUCAGUUUCUAACUCCCAAGUAAGAUAUAUAUCAGGAACAUAUCUACCCUCAAAUGGUGGAAUAUUCAACUUUAGUUUAGGGAGAUGGUCAUGAUCUCGUACCUGAGGGUGAGCCCUACCAUUGCCAUUAUUUGCAUGUGGACGACCUGGUGGUUGUUGUGCUGGUGGUGGCACGUACUUCUGAUUUUGAUCAACCUCAUCCUCAUAAUCUCCCACAUAAUCAUCCUCCUCCACAUCAGCAGUAGGAGCCACAAAAGUAUCAACAGCGGCACCAUCAGUUUGGCCCGACUGAAGAGGGACACGGCUCGCUCGGCGGAGGGCUGUUUCCCGACGUGGAGGUAGUCGAUGUUGUUGCUGUUGUUGCAGAGGUGCGGCAGGAGCAGCCGGUGGUGGUGGUGGAAAACGCGAAAGCAAUUCAGCAAACUUGUUAUCGAGCUUUGUUUCAAACGUCUUCUCCAUGCCAUCUAUCUUCUCCAUGGCCUCUUCAAAUCUGUUUAUCACAUCUUGCACCUGUCCACUCAUCAUUUGUUGAAACGUAUCAUGAAGCUCCUUGUUCGUCAAGUUCUCCCAGUCAGUCUCGUCGGCUUGUGAUCCUGGCAUGGUUAGCAGCAAUAGAAACACACGAGAAUAUGAUCCUACAGACUACUAACAAGUGGUGGUGGUGGCGGGUGUCACAAAUCCGUCAAGCAAAUCUCAAAUUCUUACCAGUUCUUACCCAGCAACAGGUGGUGAUCGGCAACCGUUGUAGUCAAAACUCUCAAAAGCUUGGAUAGAGUGAUUGCCAGGGAGAGUCAAACGCACGACGUAGAUGUAUGUGGAGCUGGGAAGGCUUAUAGUAUGGUAGCAAAAAAGGUCAGCAAUAAUCAAUUCAGAGAUGCAAAGUUGAAUAAACGCUCAACGACGGUACUGUGCUGGUCCUAGGCUAGACCGUGCUAGAGACGCGAGCCUAGAACACUAACAAAAUCACGGCGCUGCACGUAAAUAAGGGAAAAGCACACUCUGGAACUCUCUUUUUUUCGCUCUUUUUUUGCGCUCCUCUUUUUUUUGCGAGAAAUCACUAUAAUGGCGAGUGUCUCAAAACUCUUCCCUCGUCAAACUGAUAGGAUGGGCACGAAUUUUUUUUCACUUUUUUCGGAAAUCAGGGCAGCGACGAUGAAAAAGUGCGACAAAAAAUCACUAUGAUGGCACGUGGCUCAAAAGACUCAGAAAAGCCUAAAAAUAGGAUAGGGAAAAAAAACUUGCCCGUGAAAAUUUUGGCCUAAAAACUGCCAGGGGGUCUCCAGACUUUUUUUUUCCGAGACCUACGCAGGCAAGGAAACACGAAUCAGAAUUUAGAUUGAUCUCAAGAACAAACCUAAUAUGAGAAGAACUCGGAUUGGUGGUGGAUAUAUGGUUGUGGUAUAUGGCAGCGGUGGUGGUAUAUGGAUACAGAUUGGUGGUGGUAUAUGGAUACGGAUUGGUGGUGGUAUAUGGAUAUGGAUUCAGAGCGGUGGCGGAUAAGCAAAAGUGGUAGAUGGGCGAUGAUGAUGGUGCAGCGGCGGCGUGACAACUUAUGACCAGAACUCGAAACUCUAAAAGACUAGACUCUAAGACCAGCAACUUGACACGACGAUGCAACCGCAAAUUCAACAAAGCAAAAACCCUAAAAAGAUUAUGCAAAGGCUCAGAUUGGUUCGGAUAUGAUGAACUAACCCUGAUUUUUUUUUUCUGGCUUUUUCGUGGACUGUAGGUAUGAAGAACAGACUCGAUCUAAUCUACGAAAAACUGUAAAAUCUCACCGAGCAACCUGGAAAUCUGAUACCACUUGAUAGAGGCUAAGGUGUCCCGAUGUUUCGAUGAGAUGGUGGCUAUCGUUUUCUCUGGGAGUCGACCUUGACGAUCCGACUACGAACGUGCGAGACGUCGCGCCUUAGCAACCGCUAAACCAACUUCCGAGGGUUAUUGACCACGCCGGAGCACGAUCAACCUGACCAUGAGGGUCUGUUUCCUGCGAGCAAAUGAAGAACAAGCAAGAAACUGAGACUGCAAUUGGGAUAUUGCGAAUAUAAGAUGAAAGCUUUAUUGAUCAAGGUGGGGUUCUGUGACGUCUUGGUCUGGUCGUUGGACACAAACGAAGUACGCGAAGUUGCAGCUAUGGCGAACUUUUAAUCUAAACAAAACCCCAAAGUCUAAACGACGCCCUAAGGGCUGUAUAUAUGGAGGAAGAGGGGGGAAUUUCGUGGCCCUUGAGGGUGGGGUCCGAAACCAACCCUAACUCUUGUUUCCCCACACAUACGGACUCUAAAAAUAGCCUAUACUUAAGUAUUUCGAAAUUACAUGGGCCUGGCCCAUUAAUAAGGUGACGCAGCACCUAGAAUAGCCUAUGGACGAAUAUUAUGAAGUGGCAUCUUGUAUAUUUCGUCCAAGGCUUCAUGCACUCCUUAUGGCGGCUUCAAAGUCCUGAAAUCAUCACUUGUAACUUCGUUCUUGAUCCCCUUGCGCAUGCCAUCAACUCCAUGCGUGUUCUUGCUCCAAUGUUCAUCCUUCUCCAAGCUAGGCCCUUCAUUUGUAAGCAAAACAAAUGUAUCCAAUUUAGGCAGCAUCAUAAUCUCAUGAACAUUAGAAUCAUUACCAAGAAACGAAAGUACCUGGUAAUUUAAUUGGCGUGCGCGAGCUCUAGUAAUUGGUCCAGUAUAUGUAACAGUAGGGGCUGCGGGUGUAACAAUGGUAUUGAUGUCCUCAUCAGGGCAAGUCAGUCAAAGUCCAUACUUCGUUUCAUACAUGGAUCCUAUCUCGGAUUUCAUGGCUUCCAGCCAUUUGUCGGAAUCCGGGCCUGCCAUCGCUUCUUCAUAGUUCGAAGGUUCACCGUUGUCUAACAACAUGAUUUCCAAGACAGGGUUGCCGUACCACUCUGGUGCAGAACGUGUCCUUGUGGACCUACGAAGUUCAGUAGCAACUUGAUCUGAAGUUUCAGGAUCAUCAUCAUCAACUUCCUCUCUAGUCGGUGCAGGCACCUCAGAAACAUUUUCUUGAGCUGUGCCACUUACCGGUUCAAGAGGUAAUACUUCAUCAAGUUCUACCUUCCUCCCACUUAUUUCUUUUGAGAGAAACUCUUUCUCUAGAAAGGACCCAUUCUUGGCAACAAAGAUCUUGCCUUCGGAUCUGAGGUAGAAGGUAUACCCAACAGUUUCUUUAGGGUAUCCUAUGAAGACGCAUUUUUCCGACUUGGGUUCGAGCUUUUGAGGUUGAAGUUUCUUGACAUAAGCAUCGCAUCCCCAAACUUUUAGAAACGACAGCUUAGGUUUCUUCCCAAACCAUAAUUCAUACGGUGUCAUCUCAACGGAUUUUGACGGAGCCCUAUUUAAAGUGAAUGCGGCAGUCUCUAAAGUAUAGCCCCAAAAUGAUAGCGGUAAAUCGGUAAGAGACAUCAUAGAUCGCACCAUAUCUAAUAGAGUGUGAUUACGACGUUCGGACACACCAUUACGCUGAGGUGUUCCAGGCGGCGUGAGUUGUGAAACUAUUCCACAUUUUCUUAAGUGUGUGCCAAAUUCGUGACUCAAGUAUUCUCCCCCACGAUCUGAUCGCAAGAACUUGAUUUUCCUAUCACGUUGAUUCUCAACCUCAUUCUGAAAUUCCUUAAACUUUUCAAAGGUCUCAUACUUGUGUUUCAUUAAGUAGACAUACCCAUAUCUACUCAAGUCAUCAGUGAGGGUGAGAACAUAACGAUAGCCACCGCGAGCCUCAACACUCAUUGGACCGCACACAUCAGUAUGUAUGAUUUCCAAUAAGUUGGUUGCUCGCUCCAUUGUUCCUGAGAACGGAGUCUUGGUCAUCUUACCCAUGAGGCAUGGUUCGCACGUGUCAAAUGAUUCAUAAUCAAGAGACUCUAAAAGUCCAUCUGCAUGGAGCUUCUUCAUGCGUUUGACACCUAUGUGACCAAGGCGGCAGUGCCACAAGUAUGUGGGACUAUCAUUAUCAACCUUACAUCUUUUGGUAUUCACACUAUGAAUAUGUGUAGCAUUACGCUUGAGAUUCAUUAAGAAUAAACCAUUCACCAUCGGAGCAUGACCAUAAAACAUAUCUCUCAUAUAAAUAGAACAACCAUUAUUCUCGGAUUUAAAUGAGUAGCCAUCUCGUAUUAAACGAGAUCCUGAUACAAUGUUCAUGCUCAAAGCUGGCACUAAAUAACAAUUAUUGAGGUUUAAAACUAAUCCCAUAGGUAAAUGUAGAGGUAGCGUGCCGACGGCGAUCACAUCGACCUUGGAACCAUUUCCGACGCGCAUCGUCACCUCGUCCUUCGCCAGUCUCCGUUUAUUCCGCAGCUCCUUUCGUGAUGCCGGCCUUCUUGUCCACUAAGUAUUUGGGGCAGUUCCGCUUCCAGUGACCACUUCCCUUGCAAUAAAAACACUCAGUCUCGGGCUUGGGUCCAUUCUUUGGCUUCUUCUCGGCAGCUUGCUUACCGGGCACGGCAACUCCCUUGCCGUCCUUCUUGAAGUUCUUCUUACCCUUGCCUUUCUUGAACUUAGUGGUUUUAUUCACCAUCAACACUUGAUGUUCCUUUUUGACUUCUACCUCUGCUGAUUUCAGCAUUGCAAAUACUUCAGGAAUGGUCUUUUCCAUCCCCUGCAUAUUGAAGUUCAUCACAAAGCUCUUGUAGCUCGGUGGAAGCGACUGAAGGAUUCUGUCAAUGACCGCGUCAUCCGGGAGAUUAACUCCCAUCUGAGUCAAGCGGUUAUGCAACCCAGACAUUUUGAGUAUGUGCUCAUUGACAGAACUAUUUUCCUCCAUCUUACAGCUGAAGAACUUGUCGGAGACUUCAUAUCUCUCGACCCGGGCAUGAGCUUGAAAAACCACUUUCAGCUCUUCGAACAUCUCAUAUGCUCCGUGUCUCUGAAAUCACUUUUGGAGCCCCGGUUCUAAGCUGUAAAGCAUACCGCACUGAACGAGGGAGUAAUCAUCAGCACAUGUCUGCCAAGCGUUCAUAACGUCUUGGUUCUGUGGGACGGGUGCGUCACCUAGCGGUGCUUCUAGGACAUAAUCUUUCUUGGCAGCUAUGAGGAUGAUCCUCAGGUUCCGGACCCAGUCCGUAUAGUUGCUGCCAUCAUCUUUCAGCUUGGUUUUCUCUAGGAAUGCGUUGAAGUUGAGGACAACGUGGGCCAUUUGAUCUACAAGACAUAUUGUAAAGAUUUUAGACUAAGUUCAUGAUAAUUAAGUUCAUCUAAUCAAAUUAUUAAAUGAACUCCCACUCAGAUAGACAUCCCUCCAGUCAUCUAAGUAUAACAUGAUCCGAGUUAACUAGGCCGUGUCCGAUCAUCACGUGAGACGGACUAGUCAACAUCGGUGAACAUCUUCAUGUUGAUCGUAUCUUCUAUACGACUCAUGCUCGACCUUUCGGUCUUCUGUGUUCCGAGGCCAUGUCUGUACAUGCUAGGCUCGUCAAGUCAACCUAAGUGUAUUGCGUGUGUAAAUCUGUCUUACACCCGUUGUAUUCGAACGUUAGAAUCUAUCACACACGAUCAUCACGUGGUGCUUCGAAACAACGAACCUUCGCAACGGUGCACAGUUAGGGGAACACUUUCUUGAAAUUAUUACGAGGGAUCAUCUUAUUUAAGCUACCGCCGUUCUAAGCAAAUAAGAUGUAAAACAUGAUAAACAUCACAUGCAAUCAAAUAGUGACAUGAUAUGGCCAAUAUCAUUUGCUCCUUUGAUCUCCAUCUUCGGGGCUCCAUGAUCAUCGUUGUCACCGGCAUGACAACAUGAUCUCCAUUAUCAUGUCUUCUUGAAGUUGUCUCGUCAUCUAUUACUUCUACUACUAUGGCUAAUGCUUUAGCAAUAAAGUAAAGUAAUUACAUGACGUUUAUGUUGACACGCAAGUCAUAAAUAAAUAAAGACAACUCCUAUGGCUCUUGCCGGUUGUCAUACUCAUCGACAUGCAAGUCGUGAUUCCUAUUACAAGAACAUGAUCAAUCUCAUACAUCACAUAUAUCAUUCAUCAUUCAUACAACACAAGUUAGACGUCAUAUCACAUCACAAAACACUUGCUGCAAAAACAAGUUAGACGUCCUCUAAUUGUUGUUGCAAGUUUUUACGUGGCUGUUAUAGGUUUCUAGCAAGAACGUUUCUUACCUACGCCAAAACCACAACGUGAAUUGCCAAUUUCUAUUUACCCUUCAUAAGGACCCUGUUCAUCGAAUCCGAUCUGACUAAAGUGGGAGAGACAGACACCCGCCAGCCACAUUAUACAACUAGUGCAUGUCAGUCAGUGGAACCGGUCUCACGUAAGCGUACGUGUAAGGUUGGUCCGAGCCGCUUCAUCCCACGAUGCCGCCGAAUCAAGAUAAGACUAGUAACGGCAAGCAAAUUGACAAUAUCGACGCCCACAACUACUUUGUGUUCUACUCAUGCAUAGUAACUACGCAUAGACCUAGCUCAUGAUGCCACUGUUGGGGAUCGUAGCAGAAAUUAAAAAAAUUCUACGCAUCACCAAGAUCAAUCUAUGGAGUAUUCUAGCAACGAGGGGAAUAGGAGUGCAUCUACAUACCCUUGUAGAUCGCGAGCGGAAGCGUUCAAGUGAACAGGGAUGAUGGAGUCGUACUCGCCGUGAUCCAAAUCACCGAUGACCAAGUGCCGAACGGACAACACCUCCGCGUUCAACACACGUACGGUUGGGAAGACGUCUCCUCCUUCUUGAUUCAGCAAGGGGGAAGGAGAGGUUGAUGAAGAUCCAGCAGCACGACGGCGUGGUGGUGGAUGCAGCAGGAUCCCGGCAGGGCUUCGCCAAGCAGAAGCGGGGAGGAGAGGUGUUACGGGGGGAGAGGGACGCGCCAAGAGCAAGGUACGGCUGCCCUCCCUCCCUUCCACUAUAUAUAGGGGCUAGGGGGGCGCAUGCCCCCUUGGAGAUCCCAUCUAAAAGGGGCGGCCCGGCGGCCCCUGGGGGCAACGGCCCCCUUAGGGUUUCCAAACAAGGGGGAGCAUGCCCCCUCGGGGGGCAACGGCCCCCUAGGGUUUCCAACCCUAGGCGCCUUGGGCCCUUGGGUGGGGCGCACCAGCCCAUUAGGGGCUGGUUCCCACGCCACUUCAGCCCAUGGGGCCCUCCGGGAUAGGUGGCCCCAUCCGGUGGACCCCCGGGACCCUUCCGGUGGUCCCGGUACAAUACCGGUAACCCCCGAAACCUUCCCGCUGGCCGAAACUUGACUUCCUAUAUAUAAAUCUUUACCUCUGGACCAUUCCGGAACUCCUCGUGAUGUCCGGGAUCUCAUCCGGGACUCCGACAACUUUCGGGUUACUGCAUACUAAUAUCUCUACAACCCUAGCGUCACCGAACCUUAAGUGUGUAGAGCCUACAGGUUCGGGAGACACGCAGACAUGACCGAGACGCCUCUCCGGUCAAUAACCAACAGCGGGAUCUGGAUACCCAUGUUGGCUCCCACAUGCUCCUCGAUGAUCUCAUCGGAUGAACCACGAUGUCGAGGACUUAAUCAAUCCCGUAUUCAUUUCCCUUUGUCAAUCGGUACGAUACUUGCCCGAGACUCGAUCGUCGGUAUCCCAAUACCUUGUUCAAUCUCGUUACCGGCAAGUCACUUUACUCGUACCGUAAUGCAUGAUCCCGUGACCAACCCCUUGGUCACAUUGAGCUCAUUAUGAUGAUGCAUUACCGAGUGGGCCCAGAGAUACCUCUCCGUCAUACGGAGUGACAAAUCCCAGUCUCGAUUCGUGCCAACCCAACAGACACUUUUGGAGAUACCCGUAGUGCACCUUUAUAGCCACCCAGUUACGUUGUGACAUUUGAUACACCCAAAGCACUCCUACGGUAUCCGGGAGUUGCACAAUCUCAUGGUCUAAGGAAAUGAUACUUGAAUUAGAAAAGCUCUCACAAAAUGAACUUACACGAUCUUUGUGCUAUGCUUAGGUUUGGGUCUUGUCCAUCACAUCAUUCUCCUAAUGAUGUGAUCCCGUUAUCAAUGACAUCCCCAUGUCCAUAGCCAGGAAACCAUGACUAUCUGUUGAUCAACGAGCUAGUCAACUAGAGGCUCACUAGGGACACAUUGUGAUCUAUGUAUUCACACAUGUAUUAUGAUUUCCGGAUAAUACAAUUAUAGCAUGAAUAAUAGACAAUUAUCAUGAACAAGGAAAUAUAAUAAUCAUUUUAUUAUUGCCUCUAGGGCAUAUUUCCAACACAAGUGCCCUAGGUUUUAGGGUUUUGUCCAGAUUUAGACUAGGGAUUAUAAAUAAGGAAAGAGGGAGAGUUUAGGGGCUAAUGCGUCCCUCCAAAUAAAAUCUAACGGUCGAGAAAAAUAGACUAAGAACUCUAAAAGAGAAAACGGUGAUGUUUUGUAGACGUUUGGGGAUGAUCCGGACACAACGGUGACGACUGUUCGGGUCGGGUCCGGGACAAUUUUCGGACGCACGCGCGAGGAGGUCCGAUGCACUAUGCAAAGAGGGGUAGGCAUGGGCCUAGGUGGAUUGUGGAGAGCGGGUUGGUCUGAGAGAAGAGGGGAGAGAGGUAGCCCGGCAUGAUUUCCGGAGACCGAAAAUGUCCGACGAUAGACCGGCUAUACUGCCGCUAUAGUUAUCCGUUGGGGCGUCAAACGAACUCCGAUUGCGAUGAAACUUGACAGGCGGUCUAUCUACACUAUAAUAAGAGCACACGCCAACUUUCAUCCCAUUUCGAGAACAUUUCCCGUCCGCUUAUAAAAUAAUAUUUCGGACGUGCCAUGGGCGCGUGCAAGUGUGGUUGGGCUCAGAACGGACAACGGAGAGAACGGGGAGGCCGGGACAGAUGCAAGUUUCUAAAACAUGAUGAUGCAAUGCACAUGAUGACAUGACAAGAUGCGACACGCAAGCAAAUGACAAAGCAACAACAGCGAAUAACUGGAGGACAACUGGCACAUCGGUCUUGGGGCGUUACACAAAGGCUCAUGUAUCUGUCUUUCCCACUUACCCCUUCGUGGCUUAGACUAUAUAUACUACUCCCCCCUCCUAGUUAGUGUUAGCAUUGUUUUAGCUCAUUUAGAGAUAGAGCAUUGCUCAUCCACAUCGGAUCUACUCCACGAGAGAGAUCGCGGCCUCUACGGAGAAGAUCCCUUUGGAUUCAAGACCUCCUUGCGGAGAAGAUCAUCAAGACCCCCUUUUGGGCGGCCCCAUCAAGACCUCCUCACGGAGAAGACCGUUACCUCUUGUAUCGUCCGUUGUUGACUUUGGAUCUUGUAUCUCUCUUUGUGUUCAUGGAUCUAGCGCAUGUGUGAUCAUUCUUGUCGGUUUUGAGUGUUCUCUUGUGUUCCCCUCGUUUCCCUCCUCAUAUUCUUCGUGUUCUUCACGGGAUCCGCUCCUUUCGUGAAAGAUCGGCCACUAGGGCUCCACCCUACAUCAUAAUGCCUUCCCCUAGGCCCAAACAAUGGUGAAUUUUCAUGUAGUCGACGUUCACAUAACACCACUAGAGGAAAGACAACAUACAUCUCAUCAAAAUAUCGAACGAAUACCAAAUUCACAUGACUACUUAUAGCAAGACUUCUCCCAUGUCCUCAGGAACAAACGUAACUACUCACAAAUCAUAUUCAUGUUCAUAAUCAGAGGGGUAUUAAUAUGCAUAAAGGAUCUAAACAUAUGAUCUUCCACCAAGUAAACCAACUAGCAUCAACUACAAGGAGUAAUCAACACUACUAGCAACCCACAGGUACCAAUAUGAGGUUUUGAGACAAAGAUUAGAUACAAGAGAUGAACUAGGGUUUGAGAUGAGAUGGUGCUGGUGAAGGUGUUGAUGGAGAUUGACCCCCUCCCGAUGAGUGGAUCGAUGGUGAUGACGAUGGCGAUGAUUUCCCCCUCCCGGAGGGAGGUUUCCUCGACAGAACAGCUCCGCCGGAGCCCUAGAUUGGUUCCGCCAAAGUUCCGCCUCGUGGUGGCGGAGUUUCGUCCCGUAAGCUUGCUUAUGAUUUUUUCCGGACGAAAGACCUCAUAUAGCAGAAGAUGGGCACCAGAGGGCUGCCAGGGGGCCCACGAGGCAGGGGGGCGCGCCUAGGGGGUAGGGCGCGCUCCCACCCUCGUGGAUGGUGGGUGGCCCCCCUCUGGAACUUCCUUCGCCCAAUAUUUUUUAUAUAUUCUGAAACGUGCUACCGUGAAGUUUCAGGACUUUUGGAGUUGUGAAGAAUAGGUCUCUAAUUUUCCAGCCCAGAAUUCCAGCUGCCGGCAUUCUCCCUCUUCAUGUAAACCUUGUAAAAUAAGAGAGAAUAGGCAUACGUAUUGUGACAUAAUGUGUAAUAACAGCCCAUAAUGCAACAAAUAUCGAUAUAAAAGCAUGAUGCAAAAUGGACGUAUCAUUACUCAUGCCUUUUGGGUUAACUAAUGCACCUAGCACUUUCAUGAGAUUAAUGAACAAAGUUUUACGUGCUUUCAUUAGACGAUUUAUGGUAGUCUAUUUUGAUGAUAUACUGAUUUAUAGCAGAUCUUUGGAGGAAUAUUUGGAACAUUUACAUGUUGUUUUUAUUCCUUUACGUGAUGCACAUUUGUUUGGUAACCUUGGGAAGUGCACCUUUUGCACCGACCGAGUAUCUUUUUUUGGCUAUGUUGUUACUCCAUAGGGAAAUGAAAUUGAUAAAACCAAGAUUGAAGCUAUUGAGAGUUGGCCGCAGCCCAAAACGGUCACACAAGUGAGGAGUUUUCUUGGCCUUGUUGGUUUCAAUAGGCGUUUUGUGAGAGAUUGCAGCAGGAUUGCUCCACCACUCAAUGAGCUUACAAAGAAGGAUGUGCCUUUUGUUUAGGGUACCACACAGGAAGAAGCCUUCACGAUAUUGAAAGAUAAGUUGACACAUGCUCCUUUACUCCAACUUCCUGAUUUUAAUAAGACUUUUGAGCUUGAAUGUGAUGCUAGUGGAAUUGGAUUAGGAGGUGUGUUAUUAUAAGAUGGCAAACCUAUUGCAUACUUUUCUGAGAAAUUGAGUGGGCCUAGUCUAAACUAUUCUACUUAUGAUAAAGAAUUAUAUGCUCUUGUCCAGACCUUAGAAACAUGGCAAUAUUAUUUAUGGCCCAAACAAUUUGUUAUACAUUCUGAUCAUGAAUCUUUGAAACACAUUAAAAGUCAAGCAAAACUGAACUAUAGACAUGCUAAAUGGGUUGAAUUCAUUGAGACUUUCCCUUAUGUCAUUGAACACAAGAAGGGUAAAGAAAAUGUUAUUGCUGAUGCAUUGUCUCGUCGUUAUGCUAUGCUUUCACAACUUGAUUUUAAAAUAUUUGGUUUGGAGACUAUCAAAGAUCAAUACCUGCAUAAUGCUGAAUUUAAAUAUGUAUUGCAGAAUUGUAAAGAAGGGAGAACAUGGAACAAGUUCGUCAUUAACGAUGGAUUUAUGUUUCGUGCUAACAAGCUAUGCAUUCCAGCUAGCUCCGUUCGUCUUUUGUUGUUGCAGGAGGCACAUGGAGGAGGAUUAAUGGGACACUUUGGCGUCAAGAGAUGGAGGACGUACUUGCUACACAUUUCUUUUGGCCAAAGAUAAGAUAGGAUGUUGAGCGUUUUGUUGCUCGCUGCACUAAAUGUCAAAAAGCUAAGUCACGACUCAAUCCUCAUGGUUUAUAUAUGCCUUUGCUUGUACCUAGUGUUCCAUGGGAGGAUAUAUCUAUGGACUUUGUUUUAGGUUUACCUCGAACAAAGAAGGGGAGGGAUAGCAUAUUUGUUGUCGUGGAUAGAUUUUCAAAAAUGGGACACUUUAUACCAUGUCAUAAAAGCGAUGAUGAUGCUAAUGUUGUUGAUUUGUUCUUUCGUGAAAUUGUUCGCUUGCAUGGUGUGCCAAAUGCAAUUGUUUCAGAUCAUGGUACUGAGUUUCUUAGCCACUUUUGGAGAUGUUUUGGGCUAAGUUGGGGACUAAACUGCUUUUUAGUACUACAUGUCAUCCCCAAACUGAUGGACAAACUGAAGUAGUCAAUAGAACAUUAUCUACUAUGCUUAGGGCUGUUUUGAAGAAUAACAGGAAAAUGUGGGAAGAAUGCUUGCCUCAUAUUGAAUUUGCUUAUAAUCGUUCGUUGCAUUCUACGACUAAGAUGUGCCCUUUUGAGAUUGUGUAUGGUUUCCUACCUCGUGCACCCACUGAUUUGUUGCCUCUUUCAUAUUUGGAGAAGGUUAAUUUUGAUGCUAAACAACAUGUUGAAUUGAUCUUAAAAAUGCAUGAGUUAACUAAGGAGAACAUUGUGCGUAUGAAUGCUAAAUAUCACUUCAACAAAGUUGGGGGUGAAUACUAAUCAUUUUAAGAUCUUCAUUGUUGCUACUAGAAGUGGCACCUUGUUUUUAGAAACAUGUGUAGACUUGCAAUUCUUACUAGUAGGAGUUUUUUCGAUAGUUUUAACGGAAGAAAAAGCUGGUCUCAAGUUACUAGAAAUAUCUUCCAACUUAUAAAUCCGAGCGAGGCUCUCUUCUACCCUUUCGUUAACUACAGGUCAUUUUUCUUUUAAUAAUUUAAGAGAAUCUCCCGCCUUUGAUCCUAUCUUAUUAGCAAGGUUAUGGAUCCUUUUAUCCAAAAUUUCAGUAUGUUCUUUGGUGAGCAUUUUCUUUUCAAUAGCAUGUAGCCUUUGCAUAACAUGCUCAAGAGUUAAAAUUGUUUCAUUAAUAAUGAUAGGUGGUGAUCCCACUAAAUUUCCCAUGGCAUUAAAAGCAUCCAAAGUGGGAACAUCAAGAAAUUCCCUCCAGUAAUAGUAUUAAGAAUGAAUCUAUACCAAGUGGUAAUGCCCACAUAAAAAUUACGAAGAAGGAUAGUGGUAGAUUGCUUAUGAAUAUAUUUAUUAUGAGCAUCACAAAUUCUAUACCAAGCAUCUUUUAAAUUCCCCCUCCCCUUUGCUUAAAAUUGAAAACUUCAUUCUCAGGGGUACACGUAGUGGGGGAAGAACUAGCCAUAAUGAUAAAGUAGCCAAGCAAGAUCACACGCAAACAAAAGAUAGAUCGAUAAAAUGGCAAACUAAAAGAAGGCAAAUAUUCUUGUGUUUUUGUAAAAAUGUUUUAGAAGUGGGGGAGAUGAAAACGAGAGGCAAAUGGCAAAUAAAGUAAAUGGCAAGGAGAUGAGAUUUGUGAUUGGGUACCUGAUAGAUGUUGAUGAUGUCUUCCGGGCAAAGGCGCCAGAAAUUGGCAAGUUGACGGGAGAAUAUAUUGACUUGAUCCUCCCCAUCAACGACGCCGGAAAUUCUUCCUGAUUGCUUGUAUCUGCGGUGGUAUUUCCCCGAAGAGGAGAGGAUGAUGCAGCACAACAAUGGUAAUUAUUUUCCUCAGUUAUGAAACCAAGGUUAUCAAUCCAGUAGGAGAGCCAAGCAACACCAUGUAAACCACACCUGCACACAGAUAACAAAUACUUGCAACCCAAUGCGUAAGAGGGGUUGUCAAUCCCUUCUCGAUAUUGAGAUAGAUAAAAUUGUAUGAUAUUUGAUAAAUAGAUCUGACAAAACACAAAAUAAAAUAGAUAAAGGUAUUUCUGGGUUUUUGGAAUAAUAGAUCUGGAAAAAAAUGAUAGGAAAUAGACCUGGGGCCCGUAGAUUUCACUAGUAGCUUCUCUCGAGAAAAUAACAUAAGGUGGGUAAACAAAUUACUGUUGGGCAAUUGAUAGAAAAGCAAAUAAUCAUGACGCUAUCCAAGGCAAUGGUCAUGUAUAUAGACAUCACGUCCAAGAUCAGUAGACUAACUCCUGCCUGCAUUUACUACUAUUACUCCACACAUCGACUGCUAUCCAGCAUGCAUCUAGUGUAUUAAGUUCAUGAAAAAAGGAGUAAUGCAAUAAGAACGAUGACAUGAUGUAGACAAGAUCUAUUCAUGUAGGAAUAGACCCCAUCUUUUUAUCCUUAAUGGAAACAAUACAUGCGUGUCAUGUCUUCUUCUGUCACUGAGAAUAAGCACCGCAAGAUCGAACCCCUCACAAAGCACCUCUUCCCAUUGCAAGAAAAAUCAAUUCAGUUGGCCAAAUCAAACCAAAGCUUUGGAGAAGAAAUACGAGGCUAUAAAUAUCAUGCAUAAAAGAGUUCAGAGAAGACUCAAAUAAUAUUCAUAGAUAUAACUGAUCAUAAACUCGCAAUUCAUCGGAUCCCAACAAACACGGGCGGCGGCGGUUGUCGUGGCCCACAUGCUUCGUCUGGGCGACGCGACCCGCCCGGCGCUCGGCACGCUUGCGGCGAGUGUCGGCCAUGAAGCUGGCGAAGCGAAAGGCGGAGCGGAACGGAAGAACGGCAGCACACCCCUACCUGGCACGCCAAACGUCAGAAAUCGAGCUCUGGGGACCCAAAGGUUCGAACUCUAGGGUGGACACAUUCCUAUCGCCCUAUCCUUCCCUGCAGCUAACCACGGCGAGAGUGAGCUAGCAGGAGCGGGCCGGUGACACAACUGUUACCCAGGUUCGGGCCACCUUGCGGUGUAAAAUCCUACUCCUGCUUGGAUUGGGAUUGCACUCGCGAAAGAGAACGAGAGUAAAGGGUUGAGGAUCCAGUGGUCCACCUCUCUAUGAUGGCUCCCUGCCCCCCUUUUAUAUCUGCCUUGGUCCUCUUCCCCCAAAAAUAUUGGCGGGAAGGGUUGCCAUACAAUGGCAAUUUUGAAGGGGGACAGGGACGCAGUCUAUCCUGACAAAAGGUGGUCUUCGCCUGCAAAGCCACCAUCCAUGAUGCGCCGGUGGGCUCGGGGAUGACCUCCGCCCUGCGCAGCCGUCGUCUUGGUCUUCUUGCACCGAUCGGGCAACCUUUGGGGGUUGCUUUGGGAACCGGCGUGCUGGCCUUGCUCCCUUAGCACAAAAGCGGAAAUCCUCCUCAUCCGCGCCUGCUGGCACGACCUCUGGCGCCGUUCAUCGCCGCGCGCGUCACCCACGUGAUGACACGAGACCACGAGACCGAGCCGGGCAAUGCCUGCCUCGCAUGCCUUAGGGAGGGAGCCUCGGGAGGCAACCUCGGGAGGCUCUUGGUGAAGCCGCCUAGCCUGCUCGAGAUGCCCGCCUCCUGAAAAGGGGUCUCAUGAGGCCAAGCUCCGGUGAAGGGUCUUGUCCGUGGCGCCCGCUGGUAGGCCACUCAUUGGGCUCUUGACAUGCGUCGCGUCCUGGGCUGAAGGCAGAUGGCCUGGGUACCCCGGUUCCACGAGCCUGACACCAACAAUUCUCCUUUUCAAGUAAUCCCCCCGUUCCAUAAUGUAGUGCAUAUAAAUAUUAUUUUAAAAAUCAAACUUUGCAAAAUUUGACCAAGUUUAUAAACAAAACCAUUUAUAUCUAAAAUAUGAAAAUGCAUCUUAUAAUGAUACUAAUGAUAUGUGUUUGGCAUUCUGGAUGUAAAUGUUUUUCUCUACAAACUUGUUUGUGAGGUUUGACUUAAAAAAAACUAUAUGCACUAUAUUACAGAACAAGGAGUAUAAAAAAUUGGUUUAGGGGGGUUUAAGCAAAAAGAAAACCCUGCUCCAACAGGUCCUCACUUAGACUUAACACUCCUUGUGCCUCAUGGUAACAUCUUUGCGGAAGCAAAGAAUGAUAACAUCAGUUUACGCACCGGCCUCCACUUCAUCUCUUGCUCUAGUGAUCUUCUCCAUCGAUAAUGCUCAAAUUGUUACAAGUAUAGUUGCGUUUAAAGAUAGAUAUAGGCCCUGUUUGGUUCAGCUUUUAUCGCCGGAUUCCGCUGCCGCGCAGCAGAAUCUGAACCAAAGGGCAAACCCAGCAGAAUCUGAUUCCAGAAAUCUGCUGCCAAAAUCUGAACCAAAAACGGAAGCAGCCCAGGACGUGCUUUCCAAAAUCUGAUUCCGCUGCGGGCCAAAAUCUGAAAAGGUUGUAUCAGCUGGUUUGCCAAAUGACCUACAUCUUUUUCAAAUCAGAUUUUCCACAACUGUUUUUUCACAGCAGAUUUUUCACAGCUACUUUUAGAAAUCCACAGCCGAACCAAACAGGGCCAUAAGGAGUUAGAGAUAGAUAACGUAAUUUUUUUGGAAGGGCAAAAUGCAGUAUUAUAUACACGCAUGAUCCACAAUAAAUACAUACACACACGCACACACACAAUUCUAUGUAUGACCCAGUUGUAUUAUGUGUGCAGGAUCCCUAAUGAAUCCAUGCUUUUGACAGCAGUUAACCAAGUGUGUAUGACCAGCAAGCAGAUGUUUCAAACACACACACCCACUCUCUGAACCUGCAAAUGCAACACGUGAUCUGAUUUCAUGGUGCGUGCGCUGCAAGCGAUAGAGUCUACACCUCAUCUCCCGGCGCGUAACCUAGAGCGAGUGAAGAUGCCUGACCUUCUCAAUCGCCUCCUUGAUCCUCCGCGUCGGCUCCUCAUACAACAUUGUCGGGUCGUCAAACUGAGCAGCGAGGCUGGGCUCGUCGAGGAACGCGCGGAAGGUGUCAGCCACAGAGCUGGAGAGCGACUGCAGGUUGUAACCACCUUCCAGGAAGAAGACGCAGCGGCCGCUGCACAGCUCCCUGGCCAGCUGCUUGAUGCUCGACGCCAGCAUGUAGAACGUGCCCGUCGUGAACUGCAGACCCGCUAGAGGGUCCAGCGCGUGCGCGUCGUAGCUGACAGAAGGGUGGGUGGAGUCAACUUCGUGUGUUUGUGGAACAUCAAUAGUUUAGAUAUAAUAAUACUAUGAACAAUUUUCAUUGUCUACAUGAUUGAGAUUCAGAAUGAGAAGCCACCGUGUAUUUGAACAACUCCAGAGAAUCUUAACUUUCCUUUUUGGCAUGUUUCUGUUCUCAAGAUAAUAAUGUGGUUCUGAGGAACUCACCCAGCUGAAACGAGGAUGAUAUCGGGCUUGAACCGCUGCGCAGAUGGAGCAAUGACCUCAUCAAAGGCGCACCUCAUUGAGUAGUCACCUGAGCCACCGGGCAAUGGCAGGUUGAGCGUUGUUCCUUCGCCACUGCCCUGACCAAUUAGGUUCAUCUUACCAGUACCGGGAUAGCUUCCUAGCUACAUACACCAAAUUCAGAAAAGAAAAUGACUAUCAUGGUAAUGGUAAAAUAAGCCAGCAGUGAGUAUGUAAGGUGAUGGUCUGAUAGACCUGGUGGGUUGAGAGGAAGAAGAUGUCUGGAUCGUCAUAAAAGGCAUCAGAUGUGCCAUUGCCAUGGUGAACGUCAAAAUCUAUUAUCAUUACUCGCUUCAAUCCAUGUUGAUGCUGAGCGUACCGAGCUGCAACUGCAAUGUUCCCAAAGACGCAAAAGCCCAUGGGACCUUCAGGAACAGCAUGGUGUCCGGGUGGCCUUAUUAGCGCAAAUCCAAGAGGUGGACUUAGGCCCAGCUUUGAUGCGGCAACCUAGGAAAACAUACAACAUUUCUUGGGAAACGAGCACUGCAAAGGAAAAUUUACUAAAUCAUGAAAUAAGAAACACGCUGAAACCACCGAGGAAAUCAACUGGAAGAAAAUUAGUUACCACUGAAUCAACCAAUGUAAUUCCAGCACCAGCUGAAAGAAGUGAUUCUGCGAAAGUCUACAUAAACAAUGAAAUUACUUAGAGAAAGAAAAGGAAUAUCUAAAUUUUGAUGAGUACAAUUGUACUCCCUCCGUCCCGUAAUAUAAGACGUGCAAAAACGUCUUAUAAUAUAGGACGGAGGGAGUACAUAAUAUCAGUUAAGGAAGUAAAGAAUGAACUAUCCGCCGAGUUAAAAGAAAACUAAGAACUAUUCUCCUGGUCAAAGUAAAGUAUGAACUAUGAAAUUACUUAGAGAAAGAGAAGGAAUAUCUAAAUGUUGAUGAGUACAAUUGUACAUAAUAUCAAUUAAGGAAGUAAAGUACGAACUAUCUGCCGGGUCAAAGAAAACUAAGAACACUCUCCUGGUCAAAGGAAAGUAUGAAACUAUCCUCCUGGUCAAAGAAUGCACAAACUAUCUUUGGGAAAUAAUUCAAUCUUAUCAUAAGAAGUCAUUCCCUUAUUAACACUGCACAGAACAAUAUCAUCUUGGACUUCCUCUAUCAUAAGUAAGACUAAUAAUUUCACUAUCUGUUUCAUUUUGUUUAUAAAAAAGGGGCACAAAAUGCUCCAUCGCAUAAACGAAACUCUGUUCAUUUCAACAGAUUAAAUAAUGUAUCUGUUACAUUGUUUAAACAAUGGUUUGUCCUAAUGUUCCUUUCAACUUUGCACUGAGAGAUUGAGAGGUGCCAGAAUAGUUCUGAGCUGCUAGGUGACAUGUUUACAGGCAGCAAGCUAUGCAGCUCUACCUAACAUUCACAGCAUGAAUAUCAAGACCUCAACUAAUCACCAGGUCACUAGAUAAUACAUUUUUUUUCCUUUUUUUUUGAAGGCAAGACCAAAAUUUCUCUUGAUUUAAUAGGAAAAUAGAAGGUUUAUAAGUACAGCCUCUGGGAGUGCAUUCAUGAAACAGUAAAGUGCACAGAAGAUUGCCUCUGAAAGGCUUAGAAAAAAGAAAAAUAAUUAAGAAAGUGCAUAGAGCAUUACAGUCUGUGUAGCAUAUGUUGGUCCAGUUCCUUCGAUGAAUAUCAAACCUUCAUCCAAAGCCUUACUCAUAGCCUGCAAUAGUGACCUCUUUAAAGCUGUUUUUUUAUAGUCGGUUUGAUAUAUUUUCAACUAACAAGAUCUCAAUUCUUUAUUAAGUUGGGAAAAGGUAAUGCAGAUCAGAAGCAAUUGCUAUGAAUUCUUCUUUUUCUUCUCUGCAAAGUAGGACUACGACAACAACAAAAACGCCUGAUGGCAAUUACCUUUUCGAGUCCAGUGAUGUAUGUUCUUGAAUGAACUCGUGCAACAUCAUCAAGUGAAGCAGGGUAGAAAUUUUGGAUUUCAAGAACCUGUGAACCCCGAUGCUGGAUACAAAAAAAAAAGAUGUCAUAUAGUUACAAGCUCAUGUUAGAACGUUGAUUUUUUCAGUGAGAUGUGAUACAGUACAAAUGAGGAUAUGAGAAAGAAAUAUGCAAAACUUAUCGAGAUUUAACUGAAAACACUUAAAUUGUACUCCCUCCGUUCUAUAUUAGUUGUCGCUUGUACUAAAUCAGCGACAACUAAUAUGGAAUGGAGGGAGUAUCUUUUUCUUUGUUACUGUUUAUCUAUUUCUAUAGUCCAUUUUUAGCAUGCAAGAACAUGCAACUGCAUACUUUUGGAAAAAAUAGAGCAUGCCAGUUUUAACUGAAGUAUAUGUACAGAGAAAUUUAAAAGACAAGGGAAAAAAUACAUCUGUUAAAAACUUAUAAAUAUAAUAUUACAAAAGGUAUAAGAAGGCAAAGUUUUUUUUGUUGCUUACGUACCUUUGGUGUAAGCUCCAAUUUUUCGAGAGCAUCAACUAUUGCUGGCACUCUUUUGUUUGAUUCUGGAUGUGCUUCCUAAAUACCAUUAUACAGGGUAUAUUAGGAUAUAAAUCAGACAACACAAUUUGACAUGUCAUGAUUAUGCUACGAUGUACCAUUUAUUUUACAUAAUUUACACUUUGGAGUUUGGACACACAACUUACACAAUAUGAUUUGAUACCAGGAUGUCCCUAAGCAAGGAUUGUAUAUAAUAUAGCUCGACAGUAACUUAUUCUCUUAAAAGACUGAAGUAGCAAAACAUAGUUGGAUUAGGAGCCCAAUCGACAAAAAAUUGAUAGGAUAUCUUUUGUAUUUUAAACACUAUAACCUUUAUUCCCCUCAGUUUGAUCAAAAUUUAGUACCUCAAAUCACCCAGCAUCUACAUAUAUAUAAUACUUGUGACGUAGAUGUGAAAGCAGCAAAGCAUUGGAGAUAGCUUACCUUGUUAUGACCCAUGGCAGGAGAAGCACAAUAGAGGAUGCGAGCAUCACGAAGCAAACUAUCCGGCAAAGGUGAAUCCUUUGGAGCACCAUUUGCAUGUGAGAUAGAAGCUCCAUCGUGACUCGUCGCACACUGUGCAGGCCGACCCCCAUUCAGGUUCUGCUUUCUCCCGGUGGUUUGUAAGCUGCUCCAGGUUAGGGAAUGAUGUGUUCCAUAGACACGGUACUGUCUGAGCAAAGGAAACACCCUUCCUGAGAGAAGUGGCAGGCAGUUGUCUAAAUAUGUCAUAGAGGUCAGGUUACCGCCGUACACGUAUAAACAGAAACAGACUUAGAUGAGCAUCAAAAGGAUACCAAGAACUCUGGUAAACUGGGGACCUAGUUACGGCUGGGCAUUUACACAAGCAGGUGGUGGGCAAGUGGCAUCUACUAGUGGAAGUAUGAAUCGGCAAGUGAUGAAGCAAGUGGAGCUACCGUCCUACCUCCAAGAAUCGGUAGGGAUCGUGGUAUCCCCAGAAGCUCCAUCACCUCAGGCGAAGCGCUCUCUCUCUCUCGCUCUCGCUCUCCUCUUAUCCUCCCUCGGUUGAACAAGAGGAGCCGGAAAACCUCUUCCUCUCGCUAGUCGCCUCGCCUCGCCACUAUCUCUCUGGGUCUCGGCUGGCCACACAACGACAACGGACCGCGGGAUGGGCCGGGCAGAGCCCAACCCCACUCUCACUCACCCUGGGCCGGCCCAACCAGCGGCUCGGCUACAAAAUCACCGUCUGUCGUCUUUCAAUGGAUUCUUUGACUAUGUCUCAAAAAAAUUGGAUUCUUUGACUUGUUGGUUCGAUUUCUCUUCUCAAAGGAACCCCCAACACCGCCGUCGGAGCAGCGGCGGCAGCAAGAGGAGAGGAGGAGCGAGAUGGCGCCGCCCAGCAAGGAGCCGUGCAAGAAGGAGGCGUGCGACAUCCAGGCCUGCCUCUCCAAGAACCUCUUCGAUUCCAAGAAGUACGGCCCCGUCCUCUCUCCUUCUCUUGGCUCUUGCGGUUGCUGCAAGGGAUUCAUGCAUAAUUCUGGAUAGUAACUGGGGGGUUUGGGAAUUCGAGCUCGACGCUUGGGCAUGUCCUGGGAUUGGGAUUGGGGAGACCUAGGCAAGCAUUGGAGCUGGACCUAGGAAGAAUUGGGAUUUGGGAGCCAUCAUGACCUCAUGCCACGGUGGACUUCCUACAUAUUUUUUUAUUUGCUCUGAUAGCGUGAGCAUGUUUAGUUGGGUCUUGUUGUGGCACUCCAUGUUUAGUUUCGGGUGCUUAUUGCGUAUCAGCAUAUGACCAUUGCUAGACAGCAUUAUCAAUAUUUCCUGUUUUAUAUGCUGGUGUUUUGAUGGCAUCACCUAUUAAUUCAUCAUAAGAAAUUUUUGUUUCUUGGAGAUUUUUCAUAAGAAUACAAGCACUACUUCUCCCUUGUUAACACCCAAGCUCAAAUAAUGCUGCUCCGAGCAGCAUUGUGGCACCACCUCCUCCAGCCCAUGCGCCAAGGGUGGAUGAGGCGAAGAUGCCCAAGUUGUCAGAAGAACCCAUUACCAAUUAGGAGUGCUAAUCAUGUUUGCUUUUUAACAGGUGUUUGAAAGUUAUUCAGUCACUACAAUCUUGUUGUGAGCAAUGCGAGUACAAAUCAACACAUUGUGGUUCUUUGUCGGGCUUGCUCAAAAACAUUUCAAAGUGAUGUAAUAAGACUAUCACUCAAUAAAGGUAAGAUUUAUCUUUACAGUUACAAAAUUUAUUGAAAUUCUGCAAGUUCACAAAUUCCAUCUAUGUUUCUAUAUCAGCACUUGGAAGCUAGAAAUUCUAAAUAGAAGUCGGAAUCGUGUGGUUGAGGUUUCUAUCUGAAUAAAUUUAUCAUUAACCCGCUUACAGAAAAAGAAAGGUUUUAUGUUUAUGUUUAUGUGUACAUUAGUUACCUGUUAGAUGGUGCUGCAUUGUGAGUCUCUACUUUGGUUACAAUGACGUCCUUUUUCGAAUGUCUAUUUGGGUUACAAGGAGAUGCUUUGCUUAGAUAAUUUCUUUUUUCUAUCACUGUGUACUUUGGUAUGUGAUAAAUCUAUCAAGACCAGGCACAGGCUAAAAAUAUAAUUUAUCAUCUAUGUAUCUCCAGGUGUAAACAUUAGCUUGUCUUCUUUGGCAUCUCAUUAAAGGUCUGUAUAGAUAUCCUUGAGAAACCAAAGAUUUUAGAUAUAUUUGUGGAUGAACUAUAAGAACGCACUAAAAAGAAAUAUAACUUGAGGAAAAUAUGAUACUUUCAAGACUGAUGGAAGUGUCAGUGUAAUCAACAUAACUAAAUUGCAGCAUGAAACCAGCACAUGGUCAGAUUCGGCUAGCAGAAUCAACCUCUUAUUAGCAUUGUGGUCUAUUUUGAGACUGUAGAUAAGCACCAUAACAACUUGACCAUAGAGUGGGCUAGCCAUUAUGUUAUAUAUACAAAAUUGUGUGCUGAUUAUGCUACUGACAUACUGUUUUAUGUUUUAUUUGAAGGUUGAAUAAAAAAAAGUAAUCUAGUUGACAGAGGAUGUUUGUCUUUGCAGGUAAUUUUAGGUUUGCUUGGGAGUUAAUCAGGAUAUCAGUUUCUCUAAUCCAUCAUGGUACAGUAUAUGUAGAUACUGAAGUUUACUUUACUUAGUGGAUCCUGUUGAGCCUAUCAUAUUUGGUUUCAGUAUGGGUGCUAUGAUAUGAUGAAAGGAAGUCACAUGCUCAUCUAUUUGAUUGGCUUAAUUAUUAUUAUUUUCCCUACUUGCAGUAUGACUGGGAAAAAUAAUAAUGCGCCAUCCUCAACCUGCAGAAAGGUGCUGUGGUUGCUAGUUGUUCGGUGCUGAGUUUGUCAACACAUUUCUUUAAGAGGGAUACUGAUAUUGCCGUAUAGCUGUAUUAUCCUUUGUAUUUCUUAUUAUGCCCAUGUGCAGAUAUAAUUCAAGAAAAUAAGUGAACCCUGGCCUUGUUGUACACCAAUCUGCAUUUAUGAUAUGGGAAGUGUUUUUUGAAUUGCAUUAGUGUUCGCCCUGCAUGUUCAACGGUACAAAAAAAAUCAAGUUUGUAUGAACACGAUGCACAGAAAUAAGGUCAACUGAUACUGUAACAGUUACUUAGCUCCAUCUUUCUACAAGCUAGUGUGCAAUUAGGAUGUUGGAUAUGAUUCCAGUCAGCAGUUAAUCUGCCAGAUCAUAUGAUGUCAUUAUCCUGUUGCUUAGCAUUUGUGGCUAGUCUCAGGUUAUUUGUGAUUUGAUUAUGGUAUUACUCUCGUUGGUGAAUUCGGUACUCUGUCAUGACUACCUUAGCUUGUACUCCCUCCGUUCCAAAUUACUCGUCGCAGAAAUGAAUGUAUCUAGAACUAAAAUACAUCUAGAUACAUUCAUUUCUGCGACGAGUAAUUCGGAACGGAGGAAGUACUAGAAUAGAAUCUUAUCUUGUGUGAUGCAAUACCUACCAAGCAAGUGCAGAUUGGUAUGCAUUGCAAAUGACCUCAAGCUGACAUGUGCAUUACAUUCUGCACAACUGUUUUUCGCUGUCCACUUGGGAGUUGGGACCAACCACAACCAGUUUGUUGGUGCGUCCCCCACACAUGUCCAUUCCUGAGCUUGUUGCUUAUCUUCCAUGGGUGUUUAUCAUCCGCUUAAGCACUAGUAGUAUGAAUUACGCAAGUGAGGCUGGUUUGUAUUUUGGAGAUCCUUUGUAUUUGACAUGAAUAAAGUUUUAUCUCGUUAAAGCUGCUUUUGUUUCUUUAUGAUAAAUUAGCAAAAUCUAGCACUAGUAGGAUGGGAUGAUUUCCUUGUGGAAAGAUGAGGAAUCUCUUGAAGCCAUUUUCAUCAGUUCAAACUGACUUCUUUCUGAGUUUAGCUGCCAUGUCAAGUCACAGAUGCAAAACCAUUGUGAUAGGUGACUCGAUUAAUUCUGCCAUGAUGAUUUCCACUAAACUGUUAGUGGGUGCCUGCACUACCCAUGUUUUGCAUGAUGGUUGAUGAAUGCCAAAGAAGAAAGAGUGAAUCAUCUUUUCAAUCUUCCAAACUAACUUAGGUUCUGAAAUCUGAAAUGUUUUCCAAUCUACUCCCUCUGUUUCAAAAUGUUAAUACAAAGUUGGGUCAUCUAUUUUGAAAAGGAGGGUAUGAACAUGCAAACCAUGAUAAUAUCGAACAGAACCCAUAGCCAGAAUUGAGCAGCACAAGGCUCUGAAGAGCCGCGCAAACGAGGGAAAAGAAGAAGUGAUGUAUUUAUCGAUCGAGAAUGCGAUAUUAUAUAUACACCUGAGAUUGAUUUAUGCACGCAUCUAUAUAAUUCUCGCAUCCACACUGCUGUCAGUUUGGUGGCGUCUUCCUUGAGGUGGUGCUGGACUUGCGUGCCAAGAAGAGCUUCUUGAGCAGCUUGAGCAUCAUCAUCAAGCUCAGCCUCCUUCGCCAGACCACGCUGCUCCCGGUACCGGAGGCGACGACCACAUCCACAUGCUGGGAUGGUAUUCCGUCGCCUUCACCAGCGUGCCACGCCUCGCUCGACCACUCCAUGCUCAGUGGGCACGGCUGCGGCGCCCGGGCCAGCUCCUCGUUGAAGUCCUCCCACAGCAUGUCCAUCUUGUGCUCUUCCAUGACGGCGAACCUCUCGGAGCGGCCCCCCGGCCCCGGGUAGACGUCGUUGUUGGGGUUCCCGGCUUGCUCGGCGGCCGAGAAGCACCGCCGGUGAUGGUCGUGCGCUCCCGCGUCGGCCGGGACGACGAACCAUGGCGGCGGCGAAGUGAAGUGAGGGGAAGGGAGCUUCUUGGCGCCGCACGGCACCGGUGGAAUGGUAGGGCAUGUGAAGUCCUCCACCAUGGCUGUGUUUGUCUGUGUAGGACGAACCUAUGGACGACUCUGAGUCUAUGUCUGAAUGAUGUAUUCGUGGAAUUGCCAAUGGAGGUUGCAACUUCUUAUCUACCUCUCCAAAUGCCUAGAGGCUAGAGGGAGUAUGUCUACGGCUGUUUCUUUAUCUCUCAAGCUCAAGUGAUGGUUGGCGAAUGCGAGUAUUAUAAUUUGGUGGUUGGCUUUAUGCUAAUUGGCUUGAUUAGCUUGGCCUAUCAGGAGACGCCAAUCAGCAAGCACCAAGACAAAAGGACCUACUAAUUAAUUGUUAAUGUCUAGUUGCAACAUUCCAAGGUCAUGAUAUACAGCUAGAGCUCGACAUGACAACAAAAAUUAUUGGGCCCUAGAGAAUGUGCAGUUCAGACAUAACUGAGCCUGAAAGUAAUAAGGCCUUUUUUGGUUCAUAGGAUAGGAUUAUCAUAGAAAUAGGAAUCUUAUAGGAAAUGAGAUGACAUGUAUCUCAAAUCCUAUGAGUAGGAAUAGGAAACAAGAUGUCAUUUGGUUGACACCAAAGGAAUUUUUUCAUUGAGUUUAGGCUCUUUUUUAUUUUCCUAUGAAAUGUGGAGGAUAGGAACCAAUCCUAUGUAGGAAUAGGAAUCCAUUCCUAUGAACUAAAGGGCUCUAAAGAAAAAAAUCCUAUAAGAAUCAUAUCCUUUAAAAUUCUUAUGAAAUUCCUCUAAACCAAAGGAGGCCUAAGCUUUUUCUCUUUUUGCUGUUAAAAUAAAUCAAGUGGAGUGUUGGUUGGGAAACAGAAUCAGGCAAGCUCCAGCAUAAACUGUAGUGAUGUUAGGGGUAGCGAUGUGAGUUAGAAGAGAGAGGGAGGGAUUUGGUGGAAUUGUCGUUUGUAUUGCUUGAGCCUCAUGGGCAUAUAUAUAGGAGUACAUGAUCUACUUAGAGUACAAGGCAAGCCAGAAUAUUUCCUAGUCUAACCUAUGUUUCCUAAUACAAUCACGUUACUCAACACCCCCGCAGACAUAACGGUAGCGACGCAGACGGUGAGACUGGAGAAGAAUCCGAAGGAAAGCCGACGGACACCCCCCACAGUCGUAACGGUCGAUGCAUCGCGGAGUCGUGGCUGGAGUGGAAACCGACGAGGUUGCUCAAGCAGGCGGUAGCCCUUUGUGUCGUUUGUCGAUGUAGCCAAGAGCGUGGGUGGUGGAGCCGUGGUUGAGGUAGCCGUGCGAAGAAUGCCGUGGUCGAUGUCGAGUCGGGGAGGCCGGUGUCGAGGAAGUCGUCGUGGAGCCGUAGGCGCAAGGGGGCGCCGAGUUAGCAUGGGCGCAGUGGUGUCGAAGUAGUGGUGCACCGGAAAGAAGAUGUGGCUGACGACGCGUCGCGGCGGGUUUGCCAAGCCCGGGGACAUAUCGUGGACGAAGGCACGUACCGGUGUUGCCAGCACCGGGCAUGCUAGACGGACGAAGACGAAGUUGACGAAGCGCCGACCAGGCUUGCCAGGCCCGGGGACACGUCGUGGAUGAAGGCAUGCAUCGGUGUUGCCAGCACCGGGCAUGCGUAGACGAGGGACCUGCACGAGCUGUCCGCCAUGUCGGAGAAGUCGGAGGGACCAGCAGAGAAGAACUCAAUGACGAUUGCGGCGUCCAUCGGCGCGGUGCCGAUGUCACCAACGGUGGUCGGAGUAGACGAAGUGGUCAGGGUAGAUGACGGCGACGCUGGUGACGGGCUAGUGCUGGACGAAGACGAACGGGGUGGACGGGCGGCGGCGGCCAAAGAAGAGCGGCGGCGGCUAGGUUAGAAGUGCGGCAGCAGUGCUCAAAGUAGGCGAAGAACUCUGACAGCGUGACGAAGACCGGCGCGGACGGUGGCGUUCCCGCGCCAAGGAAGACGGUGCGGCACAUACCACGGGAGGUCGACGCGAUGUGACGACGGAGCUGACCGCGGGCCGCGGCGCUACGGCCCGAAGGGGCGACGCAGCGGCGGCAGGCGGGUCGGGGCGACGCAGCGGCGGCAGGCGGGUCGGGGCGACGCAACGGCGGUGCACGAGUCGGUGCAGCCGCGGGGACGGUCUCGGGGCGGUGGCGGGGACCGCGUAUCGCGGAAAUACGGCCCGAAGGGGUGACGCAUCGGCGAUGCACGAGUCAAUGCAGCCGCGAGGAGAACCACGGGGUGGCGGCGCUGUAGCCCAACUGGGCGACGCAGUGGCAGCCCGAUGCUCGAUCGGUGGAGAGGCGCGCUGAACUCGGGGACGAUCUUCACGGGACCUGCGGAGGCGCGCAUAGCCGACGGGCCAGGUCGGUCGCAUGACGUAGAUGAGGCGAAUCGCGGCGGCGAGCAGGUGAUCAAGCCGAUCGCGCGCGAGGUCGGGGACGCCGCUCAGUGGAGGCGUGGUGGCGGCGGAGUCCAUGAUGAAGCCGGCGACGACGGACGCCGUGGGACAUCGCGGACAAGCUUGUCAGCACCAGCACCCAAGCUGCCAAAGCAGCGCCGGCGCCUGGGCAGUGAGGCCCGAGCGACCAACGGAGCAGCGACAUCCGAGUUGAGGCAGCCGACGAGCCUGACGUAGCCGUCCCGACGCAGCCGAGAACGAGGCCGGCGAGGUAGACCGCCGGGCCGCUGUGCAGACGCGGCGAAGGCGGGUGAUGUGGAUCGGUGGGCGGGUCGGCGCGCGAGCGACGACUAUGAUUGGUCGUCGCAUAGUGCGAGGCCGCCGGGUCGGGGCGAUGCAAGUGUCCCGGUCGAAGCAGGGCGGUGACGGCCGGCGCAGGGCAACGGGCGGACUGACGCGCGGACGACGGCUGGCCCGGACGGGCCCCCUCGGCGCGCGUGACCGUCGGGUCGAAGGAGAGGCCGGCUGGUCGCGCCGGGGUCGGAGUAGAGACGCACGGAGUCGAAGGCGGCGGCGGGCGAUGCAAACCAAUCAAAAUUAGAUCGAAAAAUCAAAAAGAAAAAUGCCAAUCAAAACGACCGGCGAGAGAGCGAAAAAAAACCCAAAGCAAGGGCUCGAAAAAAAACUCUGUAGAGUAGCCGGCCAGCACGGCCGGUGGACGAACGCUAGGUACGGGCGGCGCGGCCUCCGACGACGGUCAUGGAGACCGACCGCCCCGGGGGCGGCGCUUGGAUGCGGAAGCGACGGCGGCUAGGGUUUAGAAUCGACUUGCGAUAGAUACCAAGUUAGAAGAGAGAGGGGGGAUUUGGUGAUGGUAUUGUCGUUGUAUUGCUUGAGCCUCAUGGGCAUAUAUAUAGAAGUACAUGAUCUACUUAAAAUACAAGGUAAGCCAUAAUAUUUCCUAGUCUAACAUAUGUUUUCUAAUACAAUUAUGUUACUCAACAAUGUGUUUUUAAAUGGUUUUCGAGGGAAAGGGAGAGCAUAGAAGAAUUUAGAAGGAGACAUUCAGGACAAUGUUUGGCAGCCGGUGGUGUGGCUUUACUGCUGAAGGCCAGAGCAUCGGACAGAGGUAAAAUAGUGCUUGAAAUCCAUCUCUCUUUCUCUCUUGGUGUCUACUUUUUCUGCAAUGCCUUGCCAGCGCCAGAGGUGGCCGUGAAUUUGAAGGUGGGGGUGCCACCGCCACUGCCACAUAUGCCACCUACCAGAACCUUAUGAACAUGUUUUAAACAAAACUUAGCAAAAUGGCAAUUUUAAUGUUUUAUAAAGAAAUCUGUGAAGAAAUUUAGAAACGUAUAAGAUCUCCUUUGGUUUAUAGAAAAAGAAUACAAAAAUCAUAUGAAAUGAGAUAACAUGUAUCUCUGUUUCUAUAGAAAAAAAAUGUCAUUUGAUGCACAAACUUUUCCAUUUGAGUCUAGACUAAUACUUUUUCUUCUUUGAAAUUUGAAGGAUUAGUUCCUAUUCUACAUAGAAAAAUGUUGAAGAUAUGACUAUCAGAUAUGACCAGCCCAGGAGGGGCCGGGUCAUCCAUUAUGACGGUUCAUCUAAAUGAAGCCUAAGAAUAUACUAAGGAUGGCGGUUCAUAGAUAGGCUUGUUAAAAGGCCCAAGUCUGGGUGCGGCUUAAGGCCCGUAAGUGUAAACCGCCAUGUAUAUGUAAACUUGUAUUGUAAGACAUGUAAGAUAAGUCACCAAGCCGGACACGUUUGUAUGAGCUGGCCGGGACUUUGUAGGCUGCAGGGCGUCAAGCCAUGUAUAUAAGGGGACGACCCGGCCAUGGCUUAGGGGAAGAGACAACAAAUCGAAAGCCAGGCAAAGCGUGUUUGCUCCCUGGUAAUCGAAACCCUAGCAAUACCACCUCAAACUGGAGUAGGCCUUUACCUUCACCGCAAGGGGCCGAACCAGUAUAAACUCUCCGUGUCCUUUGUCCCGUUUAACCCCUUUAAACUAACCUCGUCGCAAUGGCUCCACAACUAAGUCCUUCUAUGAGAACAUCUGCCGCGACACUUCCAUGACAGUUGACGCUCACGUGGGGCCCGCGCACGGUGGUUUUGAGUUCUUAAGGGCAGCUUCGAAGGUCUCAAGAGAUAUGUUGUGGGCCGGAUGACCAGAGUCACCGCGGCAAGCUCUACAUCAAACGAUGCAGGCUGGUCCCUCGAGGCUGACUCAAUUGAGUACGGGUACCGGGUCCCCUUCGGCGGAAUCCACGUCUUCAUCGGCAAGAUCGACGAGCCGGGCCCUGAGCCGGACAUCUGCACCGACAUCAUCGAGACGGCUCAGCGUGCACGACCCGCCCGGGCUCAACCCGUCGUAAGGCAUGUCUUCGUUGGGUUUACCCAUGGGGCUGAGUUGGAAGGCUCUGUCUCUGGCGGUGAGACGACCAUCUUCUCUGAUGAUGAGUCGUCCACAGGCGAGACCAACUCAAUGUAUCAGCUACAUGAUGGGCGGCUUGGGGGCUGUUCCGAUGGCAACAGUAUUCCGGAUACCCGUGAGCUGCCGAACAGGGUGGCGAUCUUCAUGGUUGGCACCCAGCCGGUUCUUGGUUCGACAGCCGCCACAGCUAUAACUUCUAGUGCAGCAGCGAUAACGGCAGCCGGGGCUGGCGGUUCAGCGCGCCCGCCGGCUCAAGUCUUAAUAGAUCUGUUGGAUGCUCUGGCGACUUUGAUGGAGGUUUAGGUAACCCCAGAUAACCAGGAGCAGCACAUGGCAGAGAUAGCUAAGUUGCAUGAUGAGAUAGCGCAAGCUAAGGCGGAAUUAGCAGCAGAAAACGCCAAGAUGGCUGCAGAGCGGGCCGUUUUAAGUGCCCAAGCACAGCGGAUUCAAGCAGAUUCAUACCGGCUCACGGUGGAUCAGACCGCGUCGAACAAAGUUUUGAGGAGAAAAUACCGGAGUCGUCUGCCCUCAAUUUAUGAGUCAAGGGACCUCUUCAACACCUCUAGAGCCGGGGCCAGUAACCCGUCGGUGGUAAAUCGGAUGACUGAAGCACCAGGCGGUGGGGUGCCGGGUCAGCCGUGUGUGACAAGUUCUCCGUAUAUGAACAACACCCCGUCUCAACACAUGGUAACACCGCCGGGUCAUUAUUUCACCCCUUUGGACAACAUGAUUGCUGCGGCGACGCGAUUGGCGGCUUUACCAGUUGAGGGUGAGACUUCGGUGGCGGUUGAAACCCGAAGGGCUAGGGAGAUCCUUCAAACAACUUUAGUCCAGCAACAGGCUUACUCUUAUAGGCGUGACCGGAUCCAUUCAACCCCUCGUCCAAGCCGGAGCUACAGUAGGCACAUUGACUCACCUACAGUCUCGAGUACGAAGCAGCACCGUAACCGACCUCAUGGGCAUGACCCGGCACGCGAUGGUGCCAAUGCAUAGGAUUUGGUGGACCAGGGCAGAGCACGUCGGGAGGCCGAGCUGGCGGCUCAUCAGCACACGUCGGUUUACCCGACAACUUCAAUUGAGGCCGGUGUAACUUCCAAGGCUUUCAGUGUGCCGUUUCUAACGGCGGUUCUGCGAAACGAGAGUCUACCCAAGGACUUCAAAGGCCCUCGUAAGGUGCCUAAUUACACAGCCGAUCAACACCCUGAGGUGUGGGUGAAGAGUUAUGAGAUGGCUAUGGAGAUACUGGAUGUUAGUGAGGCUGUGUACGCUAAGUACUUCACCAUGAUGCUGGAGGGAACGGCCCGUACCUGGUUGAAGGGGCUGCCGGCUAACUCCAUCGGGUCAUGGGCGGAGCUGAAGGCCCGGUUUAUCCAGAAUUUCAAAGACACGUGUAAGCAGCCUAUGUCGGUCGUGGAUUUGGUUUCUUGUGUUCAGGCCGAGGGCGAGUCAACAACCAGCUGGGUGCGCCGGGUCUCGACCAUCAUGCAUUCUUCAGAUAAUAUCAACAUCGGUUCAGCGGUUCUGAUGUUGGAGAAAAAUUGCCGGUUCAUUUCACUCAAGCGGAAGCUUGGCCGGCUCAAGCGUCAUUACAAUGACAUGGGGGAGCUAAUGGCGGCUCUUGCAAAGUAUGCCGACUCUGAUAGUGAUGUCUACUACACAACCUUCUUCUUGUAGACGUUGUUGGGCCUCCAAGUGCAGAGGUUUGUAGGACAGUAGCAAAUUUCCCUCAAGUGGAUGACCUAAGGUUUAUCAAUUCGUAGGAGGCGCAGGAUGAAGAUGGUCUCUCUCAAGCAACCCUGCAACCAAAUAACAAAGAGUCUCUUGUGUCCCCAACACACCCAAUACAAUGGUAAAUUGUAUAGGUGCACUAGUUCGGCGAAGAGAUGGUGAAACAAGUGGUAUAUGGAUAGUAGAUAAAGUAUUUGUAAUCUGAAAUAAUAAAAAUAUCAAGGUAGCAAGUGAUAAAAGUGAGCGUAAACGGUAUUGCAAUGUGUGGAAAUAAGGCCUAGGGUUCAUACUUUCACUAGUGUAAGUUCCCUCAACAAUACUAACAUAAUUGGAUCACACAACUAUCCCUCAACAUGCAACAAAGAGUCACUCCAAAGUCACUAAUAGCGGAGAACAAACGAAGAGAUUAUGGUAGGGUACGAAACCACCUCAAAGUUAUUCUUUCCAAUCAAUCCAUUGGGAUAUUCCUAUAAGUGUCACAAACAGCCCUAGAGUUCAUACUAGAAUAACACCUUAAGAUACAAAUCAACCAAAACCCUAAUGUCACCUAGAUACUCUAAUGUCACCUCAAGUAUCCGUGGGUAUGAUUAUACGAUAUGCAUCACACAAUCUCAAUUCAUCUACUCAACCAACACAAAGGACCUCAAAGAGUGCCCCAAAGUUCUACCGGAGAAUCACAACGAAAACGUGUACCAACCCCUAUGCAUAGGUUCCCAAUGUCACGAAACCCGCAAGUUGAUCACCAAAACAUACAUCAAGUGGAUCAAUAGAAUAACCCAUUGUCACCACAGUUAUCCCACGCAAGACAUACAUCAAGUGUUCUCAAAUCUUUAAAGACACAAUCCGAUAAGAUUACUUCAAAGGGGAAACUCAAUUCAUUACAAGAGAGAAGAGGGGAAGGAGAAACAUAGGAUCCAACUAUAAUAGCAAAGCUCGCGAUACAUCAAGAUCGUAUCAUAUCAAGAACACGAGAGAGAGAGAGAGAGAUCAAACACAUAGCUACUGGUACAUACCCUCAGCCCCGAAGGAGAACUACUCCCUCCUCGUCAUGGAGAGCACCGGGAUGAUGAAGAUGGCCACCGGGGAAGGAUUGCCCCCUCCGGUAGGGUGCCGGGACGGGUCUAGAUUGGUUUUUGGUGGCUAGGGAGGCUUCUGGCGGCGGAACUCCGGAUCUAUUCUCUGUUCUGGAAGAUUUAGGGUAUAUGGAGUUAUAUAGGCAGAAGAAGCACAUCAGGGGAGCCACAGGGGCCCCACGAGGCAGGGGGAGCGCCCUAGGGGGUGGGCGCGCCCCCACCCUCGUGGGCAGCUCCCGUAUCUUCUGACGUGGGGUCCAAGUCCAUCAGGUGUGUUUCCUUCCAAAAAUAACUUCUCCAGUUGAUUUCGUUCCGUUUCGACUCCGUCUGAUAUUCCUUUUCUUCAAAACACUGAAAUAGGCAUAAAACAACAAAUCUGGGUUGGGCCUCCGGUUAAUAGGUUAGUCCCAAUGAUAAUAUAGAAGUGUAUAAUAAAGCCCAAUAUUGCCCGAAACAAUAGAUAAUAUAGCAUGGAGCAAUCAAAAAUUAUAGAUACGUUGGAGACGUAUCAAGCAUCCGCAAGCUUAAUUCCUGCUCGUCCUCGAGUAGGUAAAUGAUAAAAAAAGAUAAUUUUUGAUGUGGAAUGCUAGUUGGCAUAAUUUCCAUGUAAUUCUUCUUACUUGUGAUAUGAAUAUUCAGAUCCGAAAGAUUCAAGACAAAAGUUCAUAUUGACAUAAAAAUAAUAAUACUUCAAGCAUACUAACUAAGCAAUUAUGUCUUCUCUAAAUAACAUGGCCAAAGAAAAUUCAUUCCUACAAAAUCAUAUAGUUUAGUCAUGCUCCAUUUUCGUCACACAAGAAUGCUCUCAUCAUGCACAACCCCGAUGACAAGCCAAGCAAUUGUUUCAUACUUUAGUAAUCUCAAACUCAUAAACUUUCACGCAAUACAUGAGCGCGAGCCAUGGAUAUAGCACUAUGGAUGGAAUAGAAUAUAAUGAGGGGGGUUAUGUGGAGAAGGACAAAAAGGAGAAAGUCUCACAUCAACGAGGCUAAUCAAUGGGCUAUGGAGAUGCCCAUCGAUUGAUGUUAAUGCAAGGAGUAGGGAUUGCCAUGCAACGGAUGCACUAGAGCUAUAAAUGUAUGAAAGCUCAACAAAAGAAACUAGUGGGUGUGCAUCCAACCUGCUUGCUCAUGAAGACCUAGGGCACUUGAGGAGGCCCAUUGUUGGAAUAUACAAGCCAAGUUCUAUAAUGAAAAUUCCCACUAGUAUAUGAAAGUGAUAACUCAAGAGACUCUCUAUAUGAAGAACAUGGUGCUACUUUGAAGCACAAGUGUGGAAAAAGGAUAGUAGCAUUGUCCCUUUUAUUGUUGUUUUGCCUUUUUUAUUUGGCCUUUUUUUGGCCUUCCCUUUUUUUAUUUGGGACAAUGCUCUAUUAAUGAUGAUCAUCACACUUCUAUUUAUUUAUAACCCAAUGAUUACAACUCGAUACUAGAACAAAGUAUGACUCUAUAUGAAUGCCUCCGGCGGUGUACCGGGAUUGUGAUGAAUCAAGAGUGACACGUAUGGAAAAUUAUGAACGGUGGCUUUGCCACAAAUACGAUGUCAACUACAUGAUCAUGCAAAGCAAUAUGACAAUGAUGAUGCGUGUCAUAAUAAACGGAACGGUGGAAAGUUGUAUGGCAAUAUAUCUCGGAAUGGCUAUGGAAAUGCUAUAAUAGGUAGGUAUGGUGGCUGUUUUGAGGAAGAUAUAAGGAGGUUUAUGUGUGACAGAGCGUAUCAUAUCACGGGGUUUGGAUGCACCGGCGAAGUUUGCACCAACUCUCAAUGUGAGAAAGGGCAAUGCACGGUACCGAAGAGGCUAGCAAGGAUGGAAGGGUGAGAGUGCGUAUAAUCCAUGGACUCACAUUAGUCAUAAAGAACUCACAUACUUAUUGCAAAAAUCUACAAGUCAUCAAAAACCUCGGCACUAUGCACAUGCUCCUAGGGGGAUAGAUUGGUAGGAAAAGACCAUCGCUCAUCUUCGACCGCCACUCAUAAGGAGGACAAUCAAAUAACACCUCAUGUUUCAAAUUUGUUACAUAACGUUUACCAUACGUGCAUGCUACGCGACUUGCAAACUUCAACACAAGCAUUUCUCAAUUUCACAACUACUCAACUAGCACGACUUUGAUAUUAUUACCUCCAUAUCUCAAAACAAUCAUCAAGCAUCAAACUUCUCUUAGUAUUCAGUACACUCAUAAGAGAAUUUUAUUAUUCUUGAAUACCUAGCAUAUUAGGAUUUUAAGAAAAUUACCAUGCUAUUUAAGACUCUCAAAAUAAUAUAAGUGAAGCAUGAGAGUUCAUCUAUUUCUUCAAAAUAAAACUACCACCAUGCUCUAAAAGGUAUAAGUGAAGCACUAGAGCAAAUGACAAACUACUCCGAAAGAUAUAAGUGAAGAUCAAUGAGUAGUCGAAUAAUUAUGCAACUAUGUGAAGACUCUUUAACAUUUAAUAAUUUCAGAUCUUGGUAUUUUAUUCAAACAGCAAGCAAAGAAAAUGAAAAUGACAUCUAAGAAUAGCAAACAUCAUGUGAAGAAGCAAAAACUUAGGAUCAACCGAUACUAACUGAUAGUUGUUGAAAAAUAAAUGUGGGAUGCCAACCGGGGCAUCCCCAAGCUUAGACGCUUGAGACUUCUUGAAAUAUUAUCUUGGGAUGCCUUGGGCAUCCCCAAGCUUGAGCUUUUGUGUCUCCUUAAUUCCUCUCAUAUCACGGUCUCCCUAAAUCUCAAAAGCUUCAUACACACAAAACUCAACAAGGACUCGUGAGAUAAGUUAGUAUAAACCAUUGCAAAAACCUUAUAUCAUACUCUACUGUAACAAAUCACUAAAAUUAUUAUUCAAAUUUCAUACUAAAUGCCUCUGCAUAUUUAAUAGUCCUAUCCUCAAAUAGAAUCAUUAAAGAAGCAAACAUAUGCAAACAAUGCAAACAUAACAGCAAUCUGCCUAAACAGGAUAGUCUGUAAAGAAUGCUGCAACAUCCAUACUCCCUAGCUCCAAAAAUUAUUAAAGAAAAUUCACACUGUAUUAAAUUUAUCAGAGCUUAAUAUGCAAAAGGUUUCAACAUUUUAUCACAUUCUAACUUUUCUAGGGAAUUAUUGCAACAGCGGUAAACUUUCUGUUUUCAAACAGCAACAUGUAUACUUGUAACAUAGGCAUAGUAAAGGCUAUCAAUGCCACUUUUAUUGAAAUAAAAGAUGCAAAACAUUGUUAUAAAUAACAACAAGCAAAUCCUAACAAAAUAAAUUGACGCUCCAAGCAAAACACAUAUCAUGUGGUGAAUAAAAAUAUAGCUCCAAGUAAAGUUACCGAUGAACGAAGACUGGUAGAGGCAAAGGUGUCCCGUCUUUCGAUGAGAUGAUGGAUAUCGCUUUGGUGGAAGUCGACUUUGACGAUCCGACUAUGAACGUGCGAGGACAUCGCGCCUUAGCAAUCGCUAAACCAACUCCGAGAGGUUAUUGACCACGCCGGAGCACGAUCAACCUAACCACGAGGGUCUGUUUCCUGCGAGCAAACGAAGAACAAGCAAGAAACUGAGAUUGCAAUCUGGAUAUUGCGAAUAUAAGAUGAAAGCUUUAUUGAUCAAGGUGGGGUUCUGUGACGCCUUUGUCUGGUCAUUGAACACAAACGAAGUACGCGAAGUUGCAGCUAUGGCGAACUUUUAAUCUAAACAAAACCCAAAGUCUAAACGAUGCCCUAAGGGCUGUAUAUAUGGAGGAAGAGGGGGGAAUUUCGUGGCCCUUGGUGGAGGGAUCCGAAAUCAACCCUAUCUCUUGUUUCCCCACACAUACGGACUCUAAAAAUAGCCUAUACUUAUGUAUUUCGAAAUUACAUGGGCCUGGCCCAAUAAUAAGGUGACGCAGCACCUAAAAUAGCCUCGGGACGAAAUUUAUGAAGUGGCAUCUUGUAUAUUUCGUCCAAGGCUUCAUGCACCCAUUAUGGUGGCUUCAAAGUCCUGAAAUCAUCACUUGUAACUCCGUUCUUGUUCCCCUUGCGCAUGCCAUCAUCUCCAUGCUUGUUCUUGCUCCAAUGUUCAUCCUUCUCCAAGCUAGGCCCUUCAUUUGUAAGCAAAACAAAUGUAUCCAAUUUAGGCAGCAUCAUAUUCUCAUGAACAUUAGAAUCAUUACCAAGAAACGAAAGUACCUGGUAAUUUAGUUGGCGUCCACGAGCUCUAGUAAUUGGUCCAGUAUGUAUAGCAGCAGGGGCUGUGGGUGUAACAAUUGUAUUGAUGUCCUCAUCAAAGCUAAUGCCACAUGCUGAUGGUCCCUUUAAGGUGUUAGAGAAAAUAAAUGAUAAUGCAUAUAAACUUGAGCUGCCUGCAGAUUUUGGGGUUAGUCCCACUUUUAACAUUGCAGAUUUGAAGCCUUAUUUGGGUGAGGAAGAUGAACUUCCGUCGAGGACGACUUCAUUUCAAGAAGGGGAGGAUAAUGAGGACAUCAAUACAAUUGUUACACCCACAGCCCCUGCUGCUAUACAUACUGGACCAAUUACUAGAGCUCGUGCACGCCAACUAAAUUACCAGGUACUUUCGUUUCUUGGUAAUGAUUCUAAUGUUCAUGAGAAUAUGAUGCUGCCUAAAUUGGAUACAUUUGUUUUGCUUACAAAUGAAGGGCCUAGCUUGGAGAAGGAUGAACAUUGGAGCAAGAACAAGCAUGGAGAUGAUGGCAUGCGCAAGGGGAACAAGAACGGAGUUACAAGUGAUGAUUUCAGGACUUUGAAGCCACCAUAAUGGGUGCAUGAAGCCUUGGACGAAAUAUACAAGAUGCCACUUCAUAAAUUUCGUCCCGAGGCUAUUUUAUGUGCUGCGUCACCUUAUUAUUGGGCCAGGCCCAUGUAAUUUCGAAAUACAUAAGUAUAGGCUAUUUUUAGAGUCCGUAUGUGUGGGGAAACAAGAGAUAGGGUUGAUUUCGGACCCCUCCACCAAGGGCCACGAAAUUCCCCCCUCUUCCUCCAUAUAUACAGCCCUUAGGGCAUCGUUUAGACUUUGGGUUUUGUUUAGAUUAAAGUUCGCCAUAGCUGCAACUUCGCGUACUUCGUUUGUGUUCAACGACCAGACAAAGGCGUCACAGAACCCCACCUUGAUCAAUAAAGCUUUCAUCUUAUAUUCGCAAUAUCCAGAUUGCAAUCUUAGUUUCUUGCUUGUUCUUCGUUUGCUUGCAGGAAACAGACCCUCGUGGUCAGGUUGAUCGUGCUCCGGCGUGGUCAAUAACCUCUCGGAGUUGGUUUAGCGAUUGCUAAGGCGCGACGUCCUCGCACGUUCGUAGUCGGAUCGUCAAAGUCGACUUCCACCAAAGCGAAAUCCACCAUCUCAUCAAAAGACGGGACACCUUUGCCUCUAUCACUGUAGGUAUGAAGAACAGACUCGAUCUAAACUACGAAAAACUGUAAAAUCUCACCGAGCAACCUGGAAAUCUGAUACCACUUGAUAGAGGCAAAGGUGUCCCGUCUUUCGAUGAGAUGAUGGAUAUCGCUUUGGUGGAAGUCGACUUUGACGAUCCGACUACGAACGUGUGAGGACGUCGCACCUUAGCAAUCGCUAAACCAACUCCGAGAGGUUAUUGACCACGCCGGAGCACGAUCAACCUGACCACGAGGGUCUGUUUCCUGCGAGCAAACGAAGAACAAGCAAGAAACUAAGAGUGCAAUCUGGAUAUUGCGAAUAUAAGAUGAAAGCUUUAUUGAUCAAGGUGGGGUUCUGUGACGCCUUUGUCUGGUCGUUGAACACAAACGAAGUACGCGAAGUUGCAGCUAUGUCGAACUUUUAAUCUAAACAAAACCCAAAGUCUAAACGAUGCCCUAAGGGCUGUAUAUAUGGAGGAAGAGGGGGGAAUUUCGUGGCCCUUGGUGGAGGGGUCCGAAAUCAACCCUAUCUCUUGUUUCCCCACACAUACGGACUCUAAAAAUAGCCUAUACUUAUGUAUUUCGAAAUUACAUGGGCCUGGCCCAAAAAUAAGGUGACGCAGCACCUAAAAUAGCCUCGGGACGAAAUUUAUGAAGUGGCAUCUUGUAUAUUUCGUCCAAGGCUUCAUGCACCCAUUAUGGUGGCUUCAAAGUCCUGAAAUCAUCACUUGUAACUCCGUUCUUGUUCCCCUUGCGCAUGCCAUCAUCUCCAUGCUUGUUCUUGCUCCAAUGUUCAUCCUUCUCCAAGCUAGGCCCUUCAUUUGUAAGCAAAACAAAUGUAUCCAAUUUAGGCAGCAUCAUAUUCUCAUGAACAUUAGAAUCAUUACAAGAAACGAAAGUACCUGGUAAUUUAGUUGGCGUGCACGAGCUCUAGUAAUUGGUCCAGUAUGUAUAGCAGCAGGGGCUGUGGGUGUAACAAUUGUAUUGAUGUCCUCAUCAGAAACUGAGAUUGCAAUCUGGAUAUUGCGAAUAUAAGAUGAAAGCUUUAUUGAUCAAGGUGGGGUUCUGUGACGCCUUUGUCUGGUCGUUGAACACAAACGAAGUACGCGAAGUUGCAGCUAUGGCGAACUUUUAAUCUAAACAAAACCCAAAGUCUAAACGAUGCCCUAAGGGCUGUAUAUAUGGAGGAAGAGGGGGGAAUUUCGUGGCCCUUGGUGGAGGGGUCCGAAAUCAACCCUAUCUCUUGUUUCCCCACACAUACGGACUCUAAAAAUAGCCUAUACUUAUGUAUUUCGAAAUUACAUGGGCCUGGCCCAAUAAUAAGGUGACGCAGCACAUAAAAUAGCCUCGGGACGAAAUUUAUGAAGUGGCAUCUUGUAUAUUUCGUCCAAGGCUUCAUGCACCCAUUAUGGUGGCUUCAAAGUCCUGAAAUCAUCACUUGUAACUCCGUUCUUGUUCCCCUUGCGCAUGCCAUCAUCUCCAUGCUUGUUCUUGCUCCAAUGUUCAUCCUUCUCCAAGCUAGGCCCUUCAUUUGUAAGCAAAACAAAUGUAUCCAAUUUAGGCAGCAUCAUAUUCUCAUGAACAUUAGAAUCAUUACCAAGAAACGAAAGUACCUGGUAAUUUAGUUGGCGUGCACGAGCUCUAGUAAUUGGUCCAGUAUGUAUAGCAGUAGGGGCUGUGGGUGUAACAAUUGUAUUGAUGUCCUCAUCAUCCUCCCCUUCUUGAAAUGAAGUCGUCCUCGACGGAAGUUCAUCUUGCUCACCCAAAUAAGGCUUCAAAUCUGCAAUGUUAAAAGUGGGACUAACCCCAAAAUCUGCAGGCAGCUCAAGUUUAUAUGCAUUAUCAUUUAUUUUCUCUAACACCUUAAAGGGACCAUCAGCACGUGGCAUUAGCUUUGAUUUGCGCAAAUCAGGAAAUCUAUCCUUACGGAAAUGUAACCAAACAAGAUCUCCAGGUGCAAACACAACAUGUUUUCUACCCUUAUCUCCAGCAAGUUUAUAUUUAGCAUUCAUACGCUCAAUGUUUUCCUUAGUUAACUCAUGCAUUUUUAAAAUCAAUUCAGCACGUUGUUUAGCAUCAAAAUUAACCUUCUCCGAAGAUGGAAGAGGCAACAAAUCAAUAGGUGCACGAGGUAGGAAACCAUACACAACUUCAAAAGGGCACAUCUUAGUAGUAGAAUGCAAUGAACGAUUAUAAGCAAAUUCAAUAUGAGGCAAGCAUUCCUCCCACAUUUUCUUAUUAUUCUUCAAAACAGCCCUAAGCAUAGUAGACAACGUUCUAUUGACUACUUCAGUUUGUCCAUCAGUUUGGGGGUGACAAGUAGUACUAAAAAGCAGUUUAGUCCCCAACUUAGCCCAUAAACAUCUCCAAAAGUGGCUAAGAAAUUUAGUAUCACGAUCUGAAAUAAUAGUAUUUGGCACACCAUGCAAGCGAAUAAUUUCACGAAAGAACAAAUCAGCAACAUUAACAGCAUCAUCGCUUUUAUGACAUGGUAUAAAGUGUGCCAUUUUCGAGAAUCUAUCCACGACAACAAAUAUGCUAUCCCGCCCCUUCUUUGUUCGAGGUAAACCUAAAACAAAGUCCAUAGAUAUAUCCUCCCAAGGAACACUAGGUACAGGCAAAGGCAUAUAUAAACCAUGAGGAUUGAGUCGUGACUUAGCUUUUUGACAUGUAGUGCAUCGAGCAAUAAAACGCUCAACAUCCCGUCUCAUCUUUGGCCAAAAGAAAUGUGUAGCAAGUACGUCCUCCGUCUUCUUCACGCCAAAGUGUCCCAUUAAUCCUCCUCCAUGCGCCUCCUGCAACAACAAAAGACGAACGGAGCUAGCUGGAAUGCAUAGCUUGUUAGCACGAAACACAAAUCCAUCGUUAACGACAAACUUGUUCCACAUUCUUCCUUCUUUGCAAUUCUGCAUUACAUCUUUAAAAUCAGCAUCAUGCACAUAUUGAUCUUUGAUGGUCUCCAAACCAAAUAUUUUGAAGUCAAGUUGUGAAAGCAUAGUAUAGCGACGAGACAAUGCAUCAGCAAUAACAUUUUCUUUUCCCUUCUUGUGUUUAAUGACAUAAGGGAAAGUCUCAAUGAAUUCAACCCAUUUAGCAUGAUCAGAAUGUAUAACAAAUUCUUUGGGCCAUAAAUAAUGUUGCCAUGUUUCUAAAGUCCGAACAAGAGCAUAUAAUUCUUUAUCAUAAGUAGAAUAAUUCAGACUAGGCCCACUCAAUUUUUCAGAAAAGUAUGCAACAGGUUUGCCAUCUUGUAAUAACACACCUCCUAAUCCAAUUCCACUAGCAUCACAUUCAAGUUCAAAAGUCUUAUUAAAAUCAGGAAGUUGGAGUAAAGGAGCAUGUGUCAACUUAUCUUUCAAUACCGUGAAGGCUUCUUCCUGUGCGGUACCCCAAAAAAAAGGCACAUCCUUCUCUGUAAGCUCGUUGAGAGGUGCAGCAAUGGUGCUGAAAUCUCUCACAAAACGCCUAUAGAAUCCAGCGAGGCCAAGAAAACUCCUCACUUGUGUGACCGUUUUGGGCUGCGGCCAACUCUCAAUAGCUUCAAUCUUGGCUUUGUCAACUUCAAUUCCCUAUGGAGUAACAACAUAGCCAAGAAAAGAUACUCGGUCGGUGCAAAAGGUGCACUUCCCAAGGUUACCAAACAAACGUGCAUCACGUAGAGCAAUAAAAACAGCAUGUAAAUGUUCCAAAUGUUCUUCCAAAGAUCUGCUAUAAAUCAGUAUAUCAUCAAAAUAGACUACCACAAAUCGUCCAAUGAAAGCACGUAAAACUUCGUUCAUUAGUCUCAUGAAAGUACUAGGCGCAUUAGUUAACCCAAAAGGCAUGACUAACCACUCAUAUAAUCCAAACUUAGUUUUAAAUGCUGUUUUCCAUUCAUCUCCCAAUUUCAUACGAAUUUGAUGGUAUCCACUACGCAAAUCAACUUUGGAGAAUAUUGUAGAGCCACUCAAUUCAUCAAGCAUAUCAUCUAGCCUAGGAAUAGGAUGACGAUAACGAAUAGUAAUAUUAUUAAUGCCUCUACAAUCAACACACAUACGUGAUGUACCAUCCUUUUUCGGCACUAGAAUAAUAGGAACAGCACAAGGACUAAGGGAUUCGCGUAUAUAACCUUUGUCGAGAAGCUCUUGUACUUGACGCAUAAUCUCCUUCGUCUCCUCUGGAUUGGUACGGUAUGGUGCAUGGUUUGGCAGUGAAGCACCGGGAAUUAAGUCAAUUUGAUGCUCAAUCCCUCGAAUAGGCGGUAAUCCCGGUGGCACGUCUUGUGGAAAGAUGUCAGCGAACUCCUGCAAAAUGUUAGUGACAGCAGGAGGCAAAGAGGAAGGCACGUCCUCGAAUGAAAAUAAUGCCUCUUUGCACACAAAAGCAUAGCAAACAAAUUUGCUGAAAUCUAGCUCAUCAAUAUCAGAUUUGGUGGCAAAUAAACAUGCACUUUUCAAUUUAAUUUCAGAAGCAACACUAGAUGGUUUAUUAUUAGGCUUCAUUUGUUGCUCAAAUUCUUUUGCCACAAUCUGAUUUUCACUCUUAUUCGUCUCCUGUUUUGCUUUAUUAGCUCUAUUAAUAUCAUCUUUCAAAAUGGAAUCAGGAGUCAUAGGAAGCAAAGUAAUAUUUUUAUCCUUAUGAACAAGAGUAUAGUGAUUGUUUCUACCAUGGUGUACAGAAUUUUUAUCAAAUUGCCAUGGUCUACCAAGUAAUAAGGAACAUGCUUGCAUAGGUACCACAUCACAAUCAACAUAAUCAGCAUAUGUAGAGAUACUAAAAUGCACACGAACAGUACGUGUUACCUUAACCUUGCCGUUGUUGUUGAACCAUUGGAUGUAGUAAGGAUGUGGAUGUGGUCUUGUGGUGAGAGAAAGCUUCUCCACCAUCUCCAUGCUAGCCAAGUUGUUGCAGCUCCCUCCGUCUAUGAUGACGCGCACAGAACGUUCCUUCACAACUCCCUUGGUAUGGAACAAAUUGUGCCUCUGAUUUUGCUCAGCUCGUGUGACCUGCACACUCAAAACACAUUGAGCAACUAAACAUUCAUACCUGUCAGCGUCUUCAGGAGCCAUGUAUUGCGUCUCAUGAUCAGAAUCAUCUCCACCAUGUUCUUCACGUGUAAUAAGAGCCAAAGUCUCCUCAUCAUAGUCACUAGCGGACUCAUAUCCACCAUCCGCGGUAGCAAUCAUCACACGCGGAGAUUUGCAUUCUCUCGCAUAAUGACCUCCUCCCUUACAACGACGACAAAUAAUAUCACUUGUGUGCCCUGUUGAUGCCAUGGAAGAAGAAGAACGUUGUGCAGGCCCCGCAGGUGCGCUCUUGGCAGAUAAUGGUGGUUGUGCCUGUUUUCUUGUAUCACGGCUGGAGGUGGCACCGGAUGGAGGUGCUGGUGCAGUUGAAGUAGAAGAUGCACGUGGUGUCCAUGAUGAAGGUCGGCCUGCAGAAAAGUUAGUUCGCCCCAAUGCUUGUCGAUCCUGCACUUCACGUUCAGCUUUACAAGCAAGAUGGAAUAAACGAGUGAUAUUAGUAUACUCCUUAUAGUCUAGAAUGGUCUGAAUCUCUCUAUUUAAUCCACCCAGAAAACGUGCAAGCAUAGCUUCAUUCUCGUCAACAAUACCACAUCUAAUCAUGCCAGUUUGUAAUUCCUGAUAAUAUUCUUCUACAGAAUUUUUCCCUUGUCUUAAACACUGCAAUUUUUGAAGCAAUUCACGUUGAUAAUAUGGUGGAACCCAACGCGUACGCAUAGCAGUUUUCAAAGCAGCCCAAGUAGUUGGAAUAGGAUAUAAUCUACAAUGUUCAGACCACCAUACACAUGCAAAACUAGUGAAAGCACAAACGGCAGCAGCAACUCGUCUCUCCUCAGGAUAUUGUAAACAUGUAAAUCAUUGUUCAGUUUCUAACUCCCAAGUAAGAUAUAUAUCAGGAACAUAUCUACCCUCAAAUGGUGGAAUAUUCAAUUUCAGUUUAGGAAUAUGGACAUCAUCUCGUACCUGAGGUGGUGGUGCAGGCCUACCAUUACGAAUAUAUACCUGAGGUCGACCUGCUGGUGGUGGUACAGGUGGCUGCACGUAGUGUUGAUUUUGAUCAACCUCAUCCUCAUAAUCUCCCACAUAAUCAUCCUCCUCGGCAUCAGCAGCAGGAGCCACAGAAGUAUCAACAGCAGCACCAACAGUUUGGCCAAACGCAAGAGGAACACGGCUUGCUCGGCGGAGGUCUGCUUCGCGACGUGGAGGUAGUCGUUGUUGUUGUUGUUGGAGAGGUACGUUAGGUGCAGCGGGUGGUGGUGGUGGAAGACGCGCGAGCAAUUCAUUAAACUUGUUAUCGAGCUUUGUUUCGAACGUCUUCUCAAGUCUAGUGAUCUUCUCCAUGGCCUCUUCAAAAUUGUUCAGCACAUCUUGCACCUGUUCAGUCAUCAUUUGCUGAAACUUAUCAUGAAGCUCCUUGUUCGAUAAAUUGUCCCAGUCAAUCUCGUCGGCUUGUGAUCCUGGCAUGGUUAGCAGCAAUAGAAACACACAAGAAUAUGAUCCUACAGACUACGAACAAGUGGUGGUGGUGGGUGUCACAAAUCCGUCAAGCAAAUCUCAAAUUCUUACCAGUUCUUACCCAGCAGCAGGCGGUGAUCGGCAACCGUUGUAGUCAAAAACUCUCAAAGCUUGGAUAGAGCGAUUACCAGGGAGAGUCAAACGCACGACGUAGAUGUAUGUGGAGCUGGGAAGGCUUAUAAUAUGGUAGCAAAAAGGGUCAGCAAUAAUCAAUUCAGAGAUGCAAAGUUGAAUAAACGCUCAACGACGGUACUGUGCUGGUCCUAGGCUAGACUGUGCUAGAGACGCGAGCCUAGAACACUAACAAAAUCACGGCGCGACACGUAAACAAGGGAAAAGCACACUCUGGAAUUUUUUUUCGCUCUUUUUUUUGCCCUUUUUUUUCACACUUUUUUUUUGCGAAAAAUCACUAUAAUGGCGAGUGUCUCAAAACUCUUCUUAGCUCAAACUGACAGGAUGGGCACGAAAUUUUUUCGACCAAUUUUUUUUUUGACUGCCCGGACCCAAAAACUGGAAACGGGUCAAAAAAAACUUCCUAUAAUGGCACCUGUCUCAAAACACUCAGAAACACCUAAAAAUAGGAUAGCCAGAAAUUUUUUCGAAAAAUGCGUUUUCGAAAAAUUUUGGGCCUAAACGGAGCGUGGCUACCCGACUCCGGCAAGGAAACACGAAUCGGAAUCUAGAUGGAUCUCGAAAACAAACCUAAUAUGACAAGAACUCGGAUUGGUGGUGGAUAUAUGGUGGUAGAUGGCAGCGGUGGUGGUAUAUGACAGCUGUGGUGGUAUAUGGAUACGGAUUCGAAGCGGUGGCGGAUAAGCGGUGGUGGUAGAUGGCAGGGGUGAUGAUGAUGGUGCGGCGGCGGCGUGACAACUUAUGACCAGAACUCGAAACUCUAAAAGACUAGACUCUAAGACCAGCAACUAGACACGACGAUGCAACCGCAAAUUCAACAAAGCAAAACCCUAAAAAGAUUAUGCAAAGGCUCAGAUUGGUUCGGAUAUGAUGAACUAACCCUAAUUGUUUUUUUGUGGCUUUUUCGUGGACUGUAGGUAUGAAGAACAGACUCGAUCUAAACUACGAAAAACUGUAAAAUCUCACCGAGCAACCUGGAAAUCUGAUACCACUUGAUAGAGGCUAAGCUGUCCCGUCUUUCGAUGAGAUGGUGGAUUUCGCUUUGGUGGAAGUCGACUUUGACGAUCCGACUACGAACGUGCGAGGACGUCGCGCCUUAGCAAUCGCUAAACCAACUCCGAGAGGUUAUUGACCACGCCGGAGAACGAUCAACCUGACCACGAGGGUCUGUUUCCUGCGAGCAAACGAAGAACAAGCAAGAAACUGAGAUUGCAAUCUGGAUAUUGCGAAUAUAAGAUGAAAGCUUUAUUGAUCAAGGUGGGGUUCUGUGACGCCUUUGUCUGGUCGUUGAACACAAACGAAGUGCGCGAAGUUGCAGCUAUGGCGAACUUUUAAUCUAAACAAAACCCCAAAGUCUAAACGAUGCCCUAAGGGCUGUAUAUAUGGAGGAAGAGGGGGGAAUUUCGUGGCCCUUGGUGGAGGGGUCCGAAAUCAACCCUAUCUCUUGUUUCCCCACACAUACGGACUCUAAAAAUAGCCUAUACUUAUGUAUUUCGAAAUUACAUGGGCCUGGCCCAAUAAUAAGGUGACGCAGCACCUAAAAUAGCCUCGGGACGAAAUUUAUGAAGUGGCAUCUUGUAUAUUUCGUCCAAGGCUUCAUGCACCCAUUAUGGUGGCUUCAAAGUCCUGAAAUCAUCACUUGUAACUCCGUUCUUGUUCCCCUUGCGCAUGCCAUCAUCUCCAUGCUUGUUCUUGCUCCAAUGUUCAUCCUUCUCCAAGCUAGGCCCUUCAUUUGUAAGCAAAACAAAUGUAUCCAAUUUAGGCAGCAUCAUAUUCUCAUGAACAUUAGAAUCAUUACCAAGAAACGAAAGUACCUGGUAAUUUAGUUGGCGUCCACGAGCUCUAGUAAUUGGUCCAGUAUGUAUAGCAGCAGGGGCUGUGGGUGUAACAAUUGUAUUGAUGUCCUCAUCAAAGCUAAUGCCACAUGCUGAUGGUCCCUUUAAGGUGUUAGAGAAAAUAAAUGAUAAUGCAUAUAAACUUGAGCUGCCUGCAGAUUUUGGGGUUAGUCCCACUUUUAACAUUGCAGAUUUGAAGCCUUAUUUGGGUGAGGAAGAUGAACUUCCGUCGAGGACGACUUCAUUUCAAGAAGGGGAGGAUAAUGAGGACAUCAAUACAAUUGUUACACCCACAGCCCCUGCUGCUAUACAUACUGGACCAAUUACUAGAGCUCGUGCACGCCAACUAAAUUACCAGGUACUUUCGUUUCUUGGUAAUGAUUCUAAUGUUCAUGAGAAUAUGAUGCUGCCUAAAUUGGAUACAUUUGUUUUGCUUACAAAUGAAGGGCCUAGCUUGGAGAAGGAUGAACAUUGGAGCAAGAACAAGCAUGGAGAUGAUGGCAUGCGCAAGGGGAACAAGAAUGGAGUUACAAGUGAUGAUUUCAGGACUUUGAAGCCACCAUAAUGGGUGCAUGAAGCCUUGGACGAAAUAUACAAGAUGCCACUUCAUAAAUUUCGUCCCGAGGCUAUUUUAGGUGCUGCGUCACCUUAUUAUUGGGCCAGGCCCAUGUAAUUUCGAAAUACAUAAGUAUAGGCUAUUUUUUGAGUCCGUAUGUGUGGGGAAACAAGAGAUAGGGUUGAUUUCGGACUCCUCCACCAAGGGCCACAAAAUUCCCCCCUCUUCCUCCAUAUAUACAGCCCUUAGGGCAUCGUUUAGACUUUGGGGGUUUUGUUUAGAUUAAAAGUUCGCCAUAGCUGCAACUUCGCGUACUUCGUUUGUGUUCAACGACCAGACAAAGGCGUCACAGAACCCCACCUUGAUCAAUAAAGCUUUCAUCUUAUAUUCGCAAUAUCCAGAUUGCAAUCUUAGUUUCUUGCUUGUUCUUCGUUUGCUCGCAGGAAACAGACCCUCGUGGUCAGGUUGAUCGUGCUCCGGCGUGGUCAAUAACCUCUCGGAGUUGGUUUAGCGAUUGCUAAGGUGCGACGUCCUCGCACGUUCGUAGUCGGAUCGUCAAAGUCGACUUCCACCAAAGCGAAAUCCACCAUCUCAUCGAAAGACGGGACACUUUUGCCUCUAUCAGAACAAGUUCACGCAACCGGAUGAUGAUACACGUUUUGGACAUCACUUGGAGGAAGUCACUAGACACCUGAACAUAGGAGUACCAAGCUUCACCGGAACCUACAAUGCCACUUUACCUGAAGAAGAGCGCUGGAUGAUUCAAGUUCAAGUUCCAGGAAGGACGUUCAUGCCAGUCACUGAGCCCAUAGAGUUUUCAUUUGAUGCACCAACUUGGAGUCUAGGAAGGAGCAUGGCAGCACACAUCACCAUGGGACGCAUUGGAGAAGUCUACCGCAAUGAUCUCAAGGAUACUAUCUACUAGAUUUGUGGGCGCAGAGAUGAGCACUGGGAGAUGAUCAGCACCAGAAAGGAUAGAUCAAUUGCAGCACUUAUCCAGGAAUUAAACCAACACAUUCGACGACAGGAGAAUCAGAUGUGUGUCGACAUGAUAGAUCUGAAGAAGGCUAAGACAAGAAUCAAGGAACUGGAGCAAGAACUCAAGGCUACAUGUGAAUAUUAUGAAGAGGAAAUAGAAGUACUAGUGGAUAAGAAUGCCAACCUAACAAUGAAGCUAGCAAUAUUUAUGGGAGGCCCUACACUAGUAGAUGAAGACAAAGAACCCAAGGAGAUUAGCCCGGAAGACUACAUCAUCAUCGACGACACCGACUCGGAUCCAGAUGAUAGCGAUGAUGACUAUGUUGAUGAAGCCGGAGCAGAUAUCAUGGAGUCUGCAACCGAAGAAUAUUUCUAGUAGACCACCUCAUCAGUAGUAGUAGUCCACCAUGUAAAUACAGUAGUCCGAGCACUUUUGCGAUAGUUAGAUCGAUUGUAUGCCCUUGUUUGAUUGAAUGAAGUGAAUUGUUUGCUUUUGCCUCAUGUGCAUUGAUAGAGGCAAAGGUGUCCCGUCUUUCGAUGAGAUGAUGGAUAUCGCUUUGGUGGCAGUCGACUUUGACGAUCCGACUACGAACGUGCGAGAACGUCGCGCCUUAGCAAUCACUAAACCAACUCCGAGAGGUUAUUGACCACGCCGGAGCACGAUCAACCUGACCACGAGGGUCUAUUUCCUGCAAGCAAACGAAGAACAAGCAAGAAACUGAGAUUGCAAUCUGGAUAUUGCGAAUAUAAGAUGAAAGCUUUAUUGAUCAAGGUGGGGUUCUGUGACGCCUUUGUCUGGUCGUUGAACACAAACAAAGUACGCGAAGUUGCAGCUAUGGCGAACUGAUAGAGGCGGGGUGUCCCGAUCUUUCGAUGAGAUGAUAACUAUCGAUUUGGUGGAGACGACUUUGACGAUCCGACUACAAACGUGCACGACGUUGCGCCUUAGCAAUCGCUAAACCAACUCCGAAAGGUUAUUGACCACGCCGAAGCACAAUCAACCUGACCACGAAGGUCUAUUCCUGCAAGCAAUCGAAGAACAAGCAAGAAUUUAAUAAAAGCAAUCUGAAUAUUGCGAGUAUAUAUAUGAAGUAUUGAUAAAGAUGGGGAUCCGUAAGCGGUCUUGGUCUGGUCGUUGGACACAAACGAAGUACACGAAGUUGCAAUGGCUAACUUUUAACUAAACAAAUCCCAAGCGAAAAGCUACUAGAUGGAUCUACUUAUAUAGGAUCAAGGGGUGGCGGC
rnacentral:lncRNA from 1 species